rnacentral:lncRNA from 1 species
UGCACGGCUGCGGCGGCGGCGAUUGCUGACUGGGGACACGGGCGGCGGCGGCGAACGGCGAGGCGAUUGUUGACUGGGGACACGGGCGAGGGUUGCGGUGGGAGUUGCGGCGACGGCGGGGCUGGACUCUGGUGUGGGCGAGGGGCGGGGCGGCCGGGCUGGCGAGGAGCGAGGGGCGACGGCUCUGGAGUGAGAGCCGAGAGGUUAGGAGUUUGGGAUUGAAGAAUAUUUUCAGGGGUUAGAUUGAUUUGGAUUGAGGUGAGGGCCGGCGGGCUGGGUUGGAGUUUGGGAAUUGAUUUGGAUUUUGGGGGAAAGUACAAAGCAGUACAGGGGCGGGUGGGAAAGUACAAAGCAGUUUGGGAAUUAGAUUUAGAAUAUUUUUCAUAUUUAAUUUAAUUAAAUAGUUUAAAAUUUAUUAAUUAAAAAAUCGGGUAAUUCGGGUAUACCCGAUACCCGAUUUUUUCACACCCUAAAUACCCGACCCCGACCCCGAUCCCGAAUUUUUCGGGUAUAGGGUACCCGAUACCCGAUUUUUUCGGGUCGGGUAUCGGGUACCCGAUUACCCGAUCCCGAAAUUCCCAGCCCUAUAAACACUAUACAAAAUACUUCAUUCAUCCUAUUAGUAUAAUGUUCUACAAUUACUUUUGGCACGGAUAUUAAAAAAAAGUGUAGUUAGUGUAUAAAGUUAGUUGGUGGAAGAUAUUGGAUAAUUAUUUUAAGUAAGUUGAUGUAUAAAAUGAGUUGGAUCCACCAGUAAUAAUAUUUUAAAGGGUUAAAUGCAUGUAAUAUCACUAACUUUGAUCGAAUUCAAAUCUAGCACGAAUUUACAAAAUUCCAUUUUUACAUACCAACUUUAAUCCAUAUUCAAUUUUUGCACCAAUUUGUUCUCCGGUGGUGUAAAAAAGAAAAAGACACGUGGUGAUGACACGUCUUCCAAAUGACGUGCGGAUAAAUAGAACAUUGUCAUAUAAGUUAAUUGCGAUUCGACAACGUUGAAUCAGUUAGGAGAUGUGAACGACGUCGUUUUCAAUCUUAUGAUGUAAUCUGAUUUUGGCCCAAAUAGAUUUAGGGAUUUUCAUAUUCCCUAGGAGUUGUACAUGCUUCGAGGACUGUCAUCUUUCUCUCACGUCGUAAUUGAAGAUUCCAACACAAAGAAAGUUCAUUUCAAGUAGCUUAUAGUUGUUUAAUCGGUGUGUGGUCCCUGAAGAAUACGUCGGGGAAGGCAACCGCUGCAGAAGGUGGUCCUUACUUGAAGGAAAGCGUUGUAUUCGUAUGGUAUUAAUGUCCGAAUUAUGUACGGGAUCUCCAGAAUUCUGUGCAUAACUUGGCUCCAUUUUUUGAGCAUCGAAACUGUGCACAACAUGUGUAUUGUAACUAAAAGAAGAAAUUUAAAGGAACAACCUUAAAGAACAUCUUUUGAAAAACAGUAAGGAGCACAUAUCAAGAAGAAUCAGAAGACCAUGAGACAAGAACGACGAAUUAGAAGACAUCAUGCUUAGGAGGCUUCGAAAGGAAGAAGAUGACACUCUCUUAUAGCUUAGAAACAUGAGAGAUACGAGAGAUAGAUGAGUGAAGAAGAAAUAAAAUUAGGGUUCUAAUGUGUGUAAUGUAUUGAUUUAUAUUUGUUUCAUAUUUCAUUUAAAACGAUAAAGUUUUAAAGCUAACAAAACACAACGUUUUGCUCGUCGGCCAAAAAAUACUAAAGCGUGUGCCGACAGGCCACAUCAAUGACACAUUGAUACGAGGAAAAAGAGAAAAGCAAUGACCUAAUAACAAUCAUUGAGAGUACAGACUUUAGGCCUUGUUUUUUUUUUUUUUUUGAGUAAGACUUUAGGCCUUGUUAAAACCUGUUUAAAGAAAAUUCCAUAGAAAAAACUUUAAGGAGAAAAAGACGCGUGUCUAUAAAAAAUAAAUAAAUUAUGUAGUGUUUGAGAGGAUUCCUGGAUUCGAACUGUCUAUAACUUUUGUUCAUAAUCAACAAACCACAAAUUAAUCACACUUAUAUCAUUGGCGAAUGGCGAUAAAUAGGAACUAACCACAAACUUAACGCUAAUAUCUCCCAUUAAUUAUUUUGUGCUUACACAAAAUUGCACGGUAUUUAUGAUCAUUUUGGAUUUGUUAUAUAAUUAGACCUGAUCAAGGUUAUGGAGCUCAUAGAUCUUAUGUAUUUUGUAAAUUUAUAAACCCGAAUGUAAAUCCAAUACUAUAUAAAUACAAUCUAGAUAUCCAAUUGGUCAUAUGCGAACAUAAUUUUCAAAUUUACACAUUUAAUUUCUUAGGUCAUUUAGUAGCACAUAUCGAAUGUAUUUCAUCGAGGACACCUACUAUAAUGGUAAAUGGCUUCUCUCACCACGGCCUUUUUGAUUUCUCGAUACCUUUGCUGUCCACAAAAAAGAAAGAAAAAAACUUUAGAAAUAGAGAUUGGGAUGCAAAAUUUAAGAAAAAUUAAGGUAUACUUAAUUAAUGAGAAGAGAAACAUUACAGUACCAUAAGGUAAUGAGAUGAGAAGAAAGUCAAUAGACUACCAGCAUAUCUAUAAAGAAACGUAAGAGUUGGAAUUUAAUUUGUGAAAUUGUAGAAGGAAAAAUCAAAGUAGGAAGAAGAAAGUGAGGUAGCGUACGAGUGAUUCGACGCGUGGACAACCAUCGAGAAUGGCUUGAUAGCCUUUAUUGGUGAUGGUGGAUCCGAAAAAGCCAAGGCGAAGAUGAACCAAAUUGGGCAUCACUUUUGCAAUGGCUACUAAAUAAUCGUUGCCAUUCCCCACUCCUGAAACGGCGUCGUGUUUGAUGAGCGUGAAGGACCUCAAGCUCAAGCACUCAACGCCGAUGGCCUCCACGUCUUCCACCACCAUUUGGUUCAUGAACAAUAUGUGCAACUCUUCUAGCUCUCUGAAUCUCUUCGCCGCCGAGCUCACCCCUUUUCCCGACACAUUCUUGCAGCACGACAGCCGCAGACGUUUCAGCUUACUUGAUCUAAAUUCAAAUUCAAAAUUAAAUCACUACCAACAAUUUCAAUUUCAAUUUCAAUUUUACCUUUGGGAAAUGUAGUGAAGAAGUUCAUCGUUGCCGAAUACUCAAUAUUAAUGUCCAUCAGAUCCCCGCCGCUCCGGUCCACGGCGCGCCGACACAUGCUCCCGAGGCGGCGCGUGUCGUAGCAUGACCCCGAGUUCUUCACGUCCACGACGCGCCACAUGCUCGGCUCACGGCACACGCUCCGCCACGUCUUGCACACCUUCUCCGCCGUCUCCAGCAUCUCCGCCGCUCCCAGCCUGUGCAGGAUAUCCGCCGUCACGUCUAACGGCAGAUCGAUCCACGGCGCGAACGACGGAGGAGCCUCCGCCGCCGGACUUUUCUGCUCCGGCAACUUUCCAAAUCUGAACCUCUUUCUCCGCCAUGGCGGGAAAGAGUGGAAAGUCACGGAAAGAGUGUGAUUUGCGUUGUGGGAUUUGAAUAUAUAUUAUAAUAACCGAGGAGAUUAAUUUUUUCGAAUCACCAAAUUAAAAUUCAAUUUGAAGAACAAGUGAACAACCCUGAUCGAUGUAUGUUCAUUUAAAAAAAUCGUACCUUGUACCAUGUUACGAUCUUCUCAAAUUUGAUCUUGAUCUUGAUUCGAGUUUUUGGAUCUUCCAUCUUGAGUCCUUAAUUUCUCAUAUAAGGGAUGAUGGAGAAAUAUAUGUUAAUAAGUUGUCGAUCUCAUCGUGAAUUUUAUUUGAAAUUUGGGGGAAAGAGCAAUUUAUUACUAUACCUUGAGAUAUGACUACAUUUUGAUUGAGCUUUGAAUCAUAGAUUUCGCAUGUUGUGCAGGCAAUGCAUCAUCCACGAAUUUUGUAUUCUAUCUCUGUUAUGUGUUCUUCAGAUAUACAGUGUGUGCAAUAUAUACGUGUUAUGCUAUAUCACAUAUACGUGUCAUGUUAUCUAUAUAUUACAAAAAAUAGUCUAUUUUUACCAUUUUUGAAUACCUAUAAAGAUUAGUCUCUUUGAAAUAAAUGAGGAGGGCGAUGCUUAACGAUGCUCUUUGUUUUGGUGGUUGGGCUUCGUCCCACAUACUAGUUCAGCCCAAAAUCAGCACAAAGAAUUGCAUUUGUUGAUAAUAUCAUUCUCCUUUAUCCUUCCUAACCUCACUUGAUUCAUUGUGUAAAUGCUAAUAAUCACUUGCGAUCUAGUGUUUUUAUUUUUUGGGUUCUAUCACUUUUUAUUUUUAUUCAUUUUUGUUUCUUUCUUCCGUUUCAAUAUAUUGUGUUUUGGUGUAAUUCGUACUUGUUAGUUACACUAUGAUAUAUUGUCUUUUAGCAUUUAAUUUUAUUUUUUACUAGUUAAUAAAGUUGAAGCAAAUAACGAGAAAAAAUCAGUUAGUUAAGCUCACUCACUCAUUUUCGAACUCUUUUCAGUUAGUCCUUAAUUAGUUACGGAUUAUUCGGGCUAAAAAAUCAGUUAGUCCUAUCGAACUCUUUUCAGGCCAAUCCUACGGAUUGUGGUGUUCUUAGUUACGGGUUAUUCGGGCUAAAAAAAUUUCACUCAUAAUUUUAUUGAAGAUUCGUGUAGUGGUUUGGAAUUCUGUUGGAUUUUUUUAGACUUUAAAAAAUUUAUGAAUUUUCGUGGAUUUAGGAAAUCUAUAGACUCUAUGCAUAGUUUUGCUGACUUUUUUUUAUUGACUUUCAUGAAUUUUCAUCGACUUGAUAGGAAUUAGAAAGGCAGCAACCCAGCGCCUCCUGGAGCCCUGCUACCACUAGAAAACGCUCAUAAACGUGAAAGGAGGUCUAAAUGGAUCAUGCACGCAGUCUAGAGAAGAUGAGAGAUGAGGGAAGAGAUGUCAAAAUCAAAAAAUCAUACUUCGCUUUAGGUAAAUUAAAAAAAUAAAACAUUACAUAUGCCAGCAACGUGUGACAAACUUGGUGGAAAAAAAAACGGUGAAUUAUAAAAAUAAAAAAGUGAUAAAAUAAACAAAACAAACUAAAAGAGCAUGUAAAAAAAGCAACAAAAUCAUAAAAUUCUUAAUUAAAAGCAUGGGAAAAAUCAUAAAAUUGUUAGUUAAAAAAAGGAAACAAUAAGCGCUUAAGGAAACAAAUAAAUAAGUGAUUAUUGUUAGUUAAAAGGAUUGAAAAAAAAACGAUAUAAAAUUGUUUAGUUAAAAGAUCGCGUACCUUUGUUCAUAUUUUAAAAGAACCCACGUAAAUCUCAUGUGAUGAGGUGAGAUUUCUCUCUUUGUAUUUUUUAAGGAGAAUCCAACAAAAUCCAUAAAAUUUUAAAAUCCACAAACUUUUGAAUACCUAAGAAUUUUUUAAGACUUUUUAAAAGAAACAAUAGGGCCGAAUGGCCCUAUUCAACAUACAAGAUCAAAUUUUGUCCACCAUUUGAAAAAACAUAAAUUUUGGCCAUUUUUUGUAUGUCAUGACUAUUCUACCCUUCUCUCUCUCCUCUCUCUUUCUCAUCUCCCUCUCUCUCCUCCAGCGGCUCCUCUCUCUUUCUCAUCUCCCUCUCUCUCUCUCUCUCUCUCUCUCUCUCCAGCGGCUGCGCGGCAGCGGCGCCGAGCUUGGAGAAUUCGUCGGAGCUCUCGCGGCGGUGGUGGAGGAGAUCCUCCCUCUCUCUCUCUCCAGCGGCUGCCGCUCUCUCCUCUCUCUUUCUCAUCUCCCUCUCUCUCUCUCCAGCGCGCCGCCUGGGCAGAAUUCGUCGGAGUAGAGGAUGAGGCGGCGGCGGCAGAUCUGGUCUGAUGAGGCGGCGGCGGUGGAUCUGAUCUGAUCGUUGCGCCGCCUCCUCCAUCGGCAGAUCUGAUCUCCGCCUCCUUCGAUUUCAGCCAUGGCAGAUCUGAUCUGAUCUGUGUGCUGCACGUAUGGCACUUAUGGCACUAUUAGUGCCAUAAGUGCACACUUCCCCCUAGGGUUUAGAUAUUCCAUUUAGGCUUUAGAUUAUCCAUUUGAGGUUUAGAUGUUUCAUUUAGGGUUUAAAUGAUGUUGUUGUUUCUGUAUUUGUGCUGCACGAAUGGCACUUAUGGCACUAUUAGUGUCAUAAGUGCCCAAAAUGAUUAUUUUACUUGGUUUUAUUUUGGAUUUUCGUUGGCACUUAUGGACACCAAAAUAAAACCAAAGUAAAAUCUUGGCACUUAUGGCACUAAUAGUGCCAUAAGUGCCUAACCCGACCCGACACGCGACCCGCGUGCCUGAUCUUACCCGGUCCGCCUCAUUAAGGGUAAAAACGUCCAAAUCAAUAAAAAUUGUCAAAAUUUGUGUUUUUUCAAUGUGUGGCCACAAAUUGUGUUUUAUGCUUCAUUUUGGCUACUUCAAAAUUUUACUCUUUUUAAAAUCCAUAUUGAAUACCUCUAGAUUUUUAAAGACUUUUAAAAGUCUGGAUUGAAUAUCCCCAGACUUUCAAAGUCCAAAAAAAUCCUACAGACUCUACAAUCAAUACACCCCCCCCCCUCAGUCUAUUUCGACCAACCUACGAGUUUCAGGCUAGAUUGAAAUUCCCAAUCAAGGUAAAUAAUUUUUUUUGAAAUGUUGAUUUUUAAUUAGUAAUAAGUAUUAAUUAUAAUUCAUUGCAUCAGUACUAACUUAUAUUUUAAAAUAAAUAUUUAUUUUAAAACUUUUGAGCACAUAAAUUAAAAAGAAAACGUAAAUACAUGGAGACCGGAACCACCUUAAUACCUUAUACUAGAACAAACAAUACAAUGUUUGCCAAAAAAAAGAACCCAAAAACGAGAUCUUUAAAUUCACUGCUCUCAAAUACAAAUCAACUUCAGGUUCCAAUCACAAAAACGAGUUAAGCACAUACCACCUUCUCGAUUCCGUCGUGAAAUUAAUUCCUGGUAUUGCACAGCAAAACUUGAGUCCAGUUUUUCGUCGGCGAGAAUAGCAGCGGCUGGGCAGAGAAAAUUCGAAGUCAAUUUGAAUUACCUUUGAAUUCGUAGAGAAAAAGGUAAUUUGAGGACAAAUAUCUGAACUCAAGUACGAACAAAACGGGUGGUUUGCGUAUCAGAUUUGAAUUUGAGGGCAAAAAUGAGAUUUGGGUUCAAGAAAAUUCGGGUGGUUUGCGUAUCAGAGGGGGGGUGCCGUAUCUGUAAACGGGAUUAAUCUCGCCAAAGAAUCAUGGGCCGACUGUGUUACGCUCGACGACACCAAACGCUAGUGCAAAGUUGUAUUAAUAUGCUAAUACAACAAGAAACAGGGCAGCAAACAUGCCCUUAUAGUAAGUAUCACACGGAUUUAACUUUUUACUUAUUAUAUUUUGAGAAUAACAUUUUAUUCUUCUAUAAAACAUAGAUAAAAUCAUUCAACCUAAUGAAUAUAAAAUGGUCAUUUUAUUAUUGUAUAUAUUAUUAUAAAAUACACCAUUUUAUUAUAUGGCUCCUGGUAUUAAUUAUACUAAAUAUAAUAAAUAUACUUUUUUAAGAAUUAAAAUGAAAAAGGGGAAAUGAAAUAUAAAUACAACUGCAACUAUUUUUCAUCUAUAGUAACUAAACAUGUACAAUCUCAUUACUAAGAAUAUAGCUUUUUACUGGGAUUGUUAUACGAUAUAAAUAUCUUAUAGUAAUUCUUGUAUAUAAUGAAAUAUUCAGAUAAUAAGUAUACAUAUUAUGAGACAAACAUUAUACAUAUUAAAAUUAGGGUAAAUAUCAUGAAAACCCCUGAACUAUACUCACUUUAUCAAAAAUACCCUGAAACUUUUGAAAUGUUUUCUAAACCCUCAAACUAUCAGGUUUUUAUCAAACAUAUCAUGCAUCUAUUUUUCAGUUACCAGAAACGUGAUGUGGCUCGCCGGAUGCCACAAUGUAAUUUAUAUUCUAUUUUUUUUAAAUGACAUGGAAAAAAUAACUUCGUUUCGUACCAUAUUCUACCGUGUUUAUCCAUAAUUCUAAGUUAUUAGCAUGAAUUUCAAACACAAUAGAAGUUAAUUUUAAUUUCAGAGUGAAUUUUUUAAAAAUAUGGUACGAAACGACAUCGUUUUUGCCAUUGCAUNAAUUUGAACUUUAGGCACGAAGAAAAAUCUUGAUCAGUUGAAUGUCAAGUUCAUGAAGGAACCACACUAUAUAUUUUUAGGUGAAAAAUUAUAUUUACGUUUGGGAAAGGGUCGUUACAAGCACAAAAUAUCUACGUGUUUAUCCAUAAUUCUAAGUUAUUAGCAUGAAUUUCAAACACAAUAGAGUAAUUUUGAAUUUCAGAGUGAAUUUUUUUAAAAUAUAUGGUACGAAACGACAUCGUUUUUGCCAUUGCAUUUAAAAAAAAUAGAAUAUAAAUUACAUUGUGGCAUCUGGCGAACCACAUCACGUAUUUGGUUAUCGAAAAAUAGAUGCGUGAUAUAUUUGAUAAAAAUCUGAUAGUUUGAGGGUUUAGAGAACAUUUUGAAAGUUUCAGGGUAUUUUUGAUAAAGCAAGUAUACUUCAGGGGUUUUCAUGAUAUUUACCCUUAAAAUUAUACUCCCUCUGUCCCAUGAAAUUAGUCCCUUAUUCUAUUUUGGAUAGUCCACUUUUCUAAUUAAUACUAUAUAAAAAAAUAUUAUUUUACUAAAUUAACCUUAUUUAAUAUUUCACUUAAAUGUGAAAAUGAUGUGUGAAAAUAAUAAAUAAGGGUAUAAAAAGUAAAAAACAUAAAAAUUAAAUGAAUUUUCUUAAUAUGUGUGAAAAGUUGGACGGACUAAAAUGGUGGGACGGAGGGAGUACAAAAUAUAUUGAUAUGAAUAGAAAUAAAAAAUAUUUUUAAAAUAUAAACAAUAAUAUAAACAUAAAUUAUGAGUAUUUUAUGUUUUUAUUUUCUUUUAAAUGAACUAUUUUGAUAUUGGGUGAAUGCUAUUUGUAUUUAACAAUCCUACUCAUCAUUAAAUGGUACUCCCUCUCCAUCCACGAUAAAUGUUGUAUUUUUGCUAUUUUUGUUCAUCGACAAUAAAUGUGAUCUUUUCAUUUUAAGAGAUACUUACUCCGUCCAUAAAAAAAUUUCCUAGGAGGGAGUAGCACUAGUUUUAAGAAAAAAGUUGUUGAACGUAUUAAAAGUGGAGAAAAGAUUGUUGAGUGUAUUGUAAAUAAUGAAAGAAUAUUUUAAUUAAUAUUGGGAGUGGUGAAAAGGUGAAAAGUAAUGGUAAUGAGAUAUUUAUAAUUGGUGGGGUAUAGUCCGAAAAUAGGGGGAAAGGUCUUUUGUAGACGUCCCAAAAAUGAAAAAUAUGAAGUUCUUUUGUGAACGAAGGGAGUAUAUAUAUAUUUAUACUUUACCUCAUUCACACACAAUAUUUAUAAAAAAUCUUAUCUCACAAUCCAUUUAUCUAUAUAAUAUAUAAAAGAGGAGUUUUUUUCCUCCAUUAUUUCCCUCUAUUUUUUUUUUCUCUCUUCUUCCACCAAAUUUUUCAGUAUUUUCUCUUCUUUUUUAUGAUUUUAAUUAUUUUCUAAACAUCACAAAAUUUUAUUUAUGAAAAAAAAAUAUUCAAUAUGCAUCUUAAAUUUAAUUUUCUGACAAGUUUUUUAAUAUGGUGAAAACAAACAAAUCAUCAAAAAUGAAUUUAAAACGAAUAAGUUAUGAAAAUUUUAAGAUAUUUUAUUUUCUCUCUCUUCGCUAAAAUUUUAUAAUUUUUUUUAUUUAUAUUAGUCCAUGAGAAUAUUUAUUCAUUUAAUAUGCCGUGUAAUACUUUAUAAUAAUAAUGUGUAAUGUUAAUUUUUAUUAUCAAAAAAUUUGAGAUUAUUUAAUAACUAUGAUUAUCAUUAGAUAUUAUACAAAGUUAAAAUUUGUAAUUGAUGAGGUUUAUCUUUAAUUUAUUUUUAAAAUAUAUUUUGUAUUUAAUUAUAAUUUAUCUAAUAUUUAUAUAUUUUUAUUUAAAACAUGUGGUUAAUUUCGAUGUUCGUCGUGCAUCGCACGAAUGGUCAUACUAGUUAAUUAACUAACAAAUCAAUUCAGUAAAGUCUUUUCUUGACUUUAUACACAUGUGUGAUAUUUUCUUAAAACCUGUGACCUUCCAUCCACAAAACACUUAUCGUGGACUAUGAUGCACGGAUUCUUCAAAAAUUAGCAUGUACGGCGAAUCGGAUUCUUUUAGGGUGCGAUUCUCUCGGAUUCUCGUCGGAUUCGCACCCGAUUCGCCACGUAGCGUAUCUUUUAAAAUAAUUUAUAAAAAUAAACCGGAUUCGCAAAUUCCAUAGGUGAAAUUCACGUAUCUCAUGCACGAAAGGCCUACACAAGAUUGAUUUUGAUAAUUUUAUUGGACUAAUAAUAUUUGAAUCGUUAUAUUGUUGCCCAAUUAACUUAUAUAAUUGAAAAUGCUUAACUUUUUGGUAAAAUAAAAUGUAAAUUACAUAUAAUUAAUUUAAGAAAAUUUAAAUUGUAUAUAUUUUAUAAGCAUUAUAUAUAAUAAAAUUUUAAUAAUUAGAUGUAUCCUUGACGAAUCGCACCCUAUAAUUUUUUAGAAACUCGUAUCCCCGUACUCGUAUCGUAUCGCCCCCGCAUCCGCACCCCCGCACCUAUGCAACAUAGAUCGUGGAUGAAGAGGGUAGUAUAAUGUAGUUUCUAUAAACAAUUUUUUUGUACUUAUCGAGGAAGUAUACGUAUGAAUUCGAUGUGUAUAUGUAUGAAUUGCAAAAAAUAAUGUUUUUGCUACUUAUGAGAUUCAAACUCAGGACCGUAAAUUCAAUCGACAAAGUGAUGAAUCAACCGUAAAUCUUGAUGAUAUAAGGACUGAAAAUAAUUCAUAUUUUAUAUUUUAAAAUGUAUUUUUAUUUUAACACAUCCCUAUAUAUAUAUAUAGGGAAAAGUUCCCUUGAGAAAGCUAUAUAUUGUUAAAAUUGAGAAUAAAUUUGGUCCAUUAGAUUUUUAUCUAUCAACGAACAUAAUUAAAUCUAUUGAGAUAAGCCGUUUUAUAGAUGUAAGGGCAUAAGUGUAUUUCCUUAUAGUAAUUCGUAACGUAUGAGAUCCCUCAGUUUCCGGUAAGUGUUUGACUUUUUUAUGUGUACUUUUAAAAUUGUUUGAAGAAUACCCUAUAUUAACAAAUUAGAUUGUAUUAUAUUCAUUCUUAACGUUUUCAAGGCCACAUGUUUUUCCAUAUCGCAUAUUAGUGUGUUUGGCUUAGGGGAUAAAGCUUAGUGCAUGUUUUAGUUUACCCAUUAGUUAACCCAAAAUAUUUUUUAGUUGUUAAAAUAUUAAAAGACUGCAUUUCAUAUAUAUUAGGGUUAUUUAUAUAAAAUCUGUGUAAAUUAAAUAAUAAUAUCUCAAUAACCAUCCACUCCCAUUAUUAAAUACAGAAUGAAAUUUUGAAUAAAUAAAAUACAAAAUUAGAUUUUUUUUGGCAUUUAUUUUAAUAACAGUAUUUUAACAAAUUAAAUAGAAUAUUGUGCUCAUCAUUAUAUUCAUGUGUUCAAACAAUUUUUGGAUACGUUCAUUAAUCAAAUUUUCCCAUUUUAUCGACAUAUACAUUAAUAAAUCUUCUAUAUUCAAUGAUAGAUAUGGGAUAAAUAUCAUUUUAAACCCCAAACUAUUUUCGCACUAUCAAUUAUAUCCCUUCUAUAAUCAAUGAUAGAUAUGGGGUAAAUAUCAUUUUAAACCCCAAACUAUUUUCGCACUAUCAAUUAUAUCCCGAACUAUCGAAAAUAAUUUUUUAAAUCUUGAACUAUUAAUUUUAUAUCAAUUAUAUCAUUGAGAAAAUAAAUAUUUGAUGCUGUCUAAAUUUGAUUUAAAAAUCGGAUACUGGCAUAUCAUCAUCAGCAGCAGCAUCUCAACAAUUAGACAAUGUAACUACAUUCAAUUCAACUCUAGAAAGAAAUUAUCUCAACAAUUAGGCAAUAUAACUACAUUCAAUUCAACUAAAAAAAGAAACCUACAAUUAACCAACUACAAAGAUGAACGGCUGAUCAAAGUUACAAUACAUAAGGAAUUGCUGCAAACAUCAUCCAUUUUGCAAAUCCAACAUUUUUACACGAUUGAAAAGUAGGACAUUGUAUCAGGGUACGAUAAACUAGACGACGCUACAGCAGAUGAAAACCAAUGAAAGCUCAAGAACCUUAGUAUGUCCUCACUUACCAAGUGUCGUGGUAAUCGAAAUAUUCGCCCGAACAAUCACUGGCUCCAGAGAAUUCAAGAUAGUCAUCGUAAUCAGACACUAAAUCCAUGUCAGAGAAGCCAGUUAUAUAGUCAUCAUCUGAUGUUUCAUAAUCAUAUAUAUCAGCAUCAAAAGGGUAAUCAUCAGUUGAGUCAUGGGGGCGCCUCAAGUCUCUAAUCCUCUGCGUGCACAAUCUGCCUAUGUUCCCACCGAAGUGGAUGUUGAAGCACUGCCUCAGAUCAAGCAAUUCAAGAUGAGGACAGCCGUCAAGAAUGGCCUGCAAGCCUUCAUUUGUCAUUUUGUUUCCAAAGAGUUGGAGAUGGCGUAGUUGAGGCAUGUUUUCUGCAAUUGCUCGGGCAUCCAUAUCACACACGAGAUACUCCUGCUUGUACCAGCGGUUGUUUGAUGUAAAUGACUUCAAGUGCGGGCAUAAUCGGCCAAUGGCUUCAAUAGCUUGUGCAUCGAUAGAAGUGUAGUACAGAUGCAGCUCCUCCAGCAGAGGGAAUUUUUUAACUGCUUCGAUCAGACCAUCACCUGUUAUGCCAUAGGAAAAUACAAGUUGAAGACGUCUGAGCUGACUAGAUCUGUAGAAAUGGGAGAAAACCAAACUCAGAUAGAAGAUAACUAAAAGAUCUCAAUAUAUGCAUCAAAUAUACAAAUGCACAUGAUGCAGAAUAUUUCCAGCAGAUGCCACAGCAAAACUAACAAUAAUCCAAGUAAAGAUUCAUUCAAUUAGUCAAUAUGUAGCUCGGAAAAAUGAGAAAUAGAGACUUUGUGUUCCCAGCAUCAUUCCCAUCUUCAUGAAACGAAACAUAAAUUGAAUUCCAUUCAUGACUGCGAAAUUAAACAUUAUUCCUUGAUUCUAAAUCAUCCUUCAAUUCCCUCAUAAAUCUGCAAUCAUGCAUGGCUCUUUUACAGCUGAGAAACAAAAUAAUCUGAAAUUCUCACAAAAAUCUCGAUAUUUGCCUCAUAAUCUGCAAACAUGGAUGACUCUUUUCAGAAAAAAAAAAAAAAAAAAAUAACAUCAUCUGAAAUUCCCACAAAAAUCUUGAUAUUAUGUCAUCCUUCAUUUUUCUCCAUUACUUUCAGUCUCAAACAAAAUAAUCAUAUGAAAUGACCGUGAAAACCUUGAUACCAGAUCAUCCUAGAUUCCCUCAUAUUUCCAAUCUCAAUCACAGCUCUCAAAAACACAAUCAUCCAGUAUUUCCACAACUACGUCAAAGAAACCAAAUUUACGCCAGAAAAUACCACUUAAAUACAAUAAUAUCACGGCAUUCACACCGUUAACAAACAAAACGAUGAAUGGGUGCAAUUCAGCGAAAACAGAGCUCAAUACACCCUUUUCUCUACGGAAACCAAAGCAGAAUGAAAACUUCCGCAAUAGAUUGAAGCUAAUCUACAGAAAAAAUUAGCACACAAAUAAUCGAUUUUCCAGAUAAAUUGCAGUCAUUUAAGCACAGGAAAAAACAGAAUUACCUCUGAGAAAUGUAGUGCAGUAAUUCAUCGGUACCAAAAUACUCAAUAUUGAUAUCAAUCAAUUGGCCCUGGCUGCGAUCGACUGCGUGGCGGCACAUCUUCUCCAAAUUGUACGGCAUGUCCCAGAGAUCGCCAGUAUUUCGCAUGUCGAUGCACCGCCACAUUGAAGGGUCUCGGCAAACACUCUGCCACGCAGUGCAUACACUCUGUGCAGUCGUCAGUAUCUCGAUCGCCCCCAACUUGUGCAGAAUCGCCGAAGUUAUCUCCCGCGGCAAUUCCAGCCACGGCGGCGCCGCCUCCUUCGGGCUCGACGAGGACGACAUCUGAUCUUCCGUUUUGGGGGAUUUAACGUGUUUGAUUUCGGGGGAAGUUUUGAAUUUGGGAUUUGGAAAGGCGAGAUUUUUAGGGUUUGGAGAUUGAGUGGAUUUUGAAGGGUGCAAAAUGCUUCUGGAGUAAACGUUAGCUGAUAAAUGAAUCGCACAAGUUCUUUUUUUUCCUUUUUCUUGAACAAGUCAAUCUUUUGUUUUUUCAUGUCCUUUAUUUUUUUUUCCCUUUUAGCACAUUUUCUUAUUUUAAUAUUUUUUAUUUUUUCAUAAUACUGUAUUGUGAAUAUUCUUCUUUAUUUUUUAUUUCUUUGACUCAAAUCUAUAUAUAUAAAGAGAAGUAAAUAUAAAUAAAUUCAUUUAGAAGGGUAUAAUUGGAAUUGGAAAAAAUGAAUAACUAAAAAUGAAAUUCAGUAUAUAUUGACUAAACAUUAAAAAAACCAACAACUGCCGUGUAACAAUACAAAACUGUCAAAUUUGCAUUUAACAAAGUCCUUUCAUUAUUUAAACAAUUUUUUUUUCUUUUCUUAUUUUGUAGAUAGAAGUGAUAGAACACAAUUUUCCAAAUUCAAGUAAUUAUAUGUAAGAUCAAAUAUGUAAUUAAUCUACAUCUUGAAUUAAAGAUCAUAAAAUGACCUUUAAUUAGAUGUACAAUGUGUAAAAAAUAAAUUUAAAAUGAACAAGUUAUGAUAAUUUAAAGUUGUAAUACAUACAAUAACUUAUAUUUGUAAACAAUUAUAUUUUCCUUCAAAAGUUAGUGAUCUUAGAAACCCUAUUUCAUUUCUUAAAAUUAUAAAAUUAUGUAUUUUUAUUUAUUUUAUAUCAAAAAAUUACUAAUAGCAUAUUAUGUUAUUAUCAUAAAAUUAUAUAUAAUAAUAUAUUUUAAGGAACACUAAUUCAAUAAUCUCAUUUAAUUAAUUGAAUAUUAAAUUAUAUUAAAAUUAUAAAUUACAAUUAUGUGUACAUGAAUUUUCUCAAAUUUUCAUCUAAUUAAUUGAUUAUUAAUUAAUUCUUUAAACUAUAUAUUAAAAAAUGUACGUAUGUGUAUUAAAUUUUUGUUGAAUUCAUUAAUCAUUUAUUUAAAAUAAAUAAUACUAAAAUAAUUAUAAAUUAAAAUCUAGCAACAAAUAAAUUAUGUGGAGUUAACUUAAAUUUUCUACAAAUAUAGAAAGUUAAUGAAAUUAAAAGUCAAAUAGAGACAAUUAUACAUAAGUUACAACAUAAUAUUUUAAAAACUAUUGCAAAAUAAGUGUAAGUUCGUGAUUUAUUUUACAAUUAACCAUUCGAAUGCACCAUUGAUUUGUCUAGAAUUACUUUUGUUAAAUAAAAUAUUUUUAUUUUCUGGAGUAUGUUUUUUUAUAUUAGAACGAUUAUCUUGAUGGGUAUUAAAAUAAGUUUUCAUAUAAUUGAUAAUUGAUACUUUCAAAACUAUCUACAUUUAUCUCUCUAAAUAUUUAUUUAUAUAUGUUUGUAUUUUAUUGUUUGUUGUUAUUUUAAAUCUAUAAAUAGUAAAUUUUAAUUUUAAUAUUAUUAUAUUAAAUUAAUAAUUAUAAAGUGUUUCAUAUAUAUUGUUUUAGGUAUCGUGAUAAUUACAAUGCUAUUUUUUUUUAUAAAAGCAAAUGAUGUUUGGUAUAAAAUAAAUCAUCCCGUAUAAAUGAUACUUUUACCGCAUACAAAUGACAUUUUAACAACAACAAAAAUAAUUUUCUUACUGGUAAAUGAUAUAUUAUAAAUAAUAAUUUUAAUGCAUACAAAUAAUAUUUUUAAUAAAAAAAUUGAUACUUUAUCAGAUUGACCAGAGCAAAAGGGCAAAGAGGGUGGAAGGCAAGGGGGAGGGCUAGUAGGCUGGGCCCAAUAUGGGCGUCGAGAUGCACAAAAAAUUUGUUAAGCUUAAUAUAUGCAAUGUAUGUAUAUUUCUAUAAAAUUUAAUAUUUUAUUAUUACUUAAUAAAAGUAAUAGAUUUUAAUAUUUUUAUAUUUAUUAAUAAAAUAUUAUAUUUAGAACACAUGCAAUAUUCCUCGUGCAUCGCAUGUGAGGCGUACUAGUGUAUAUAUAUAUAUAUAUAUAUAUAUAUAUAUUAUAAAUUANGUAGUAUAUAUAUAUAUAUAUAUAUAUAUAUAUAAUUGUAAUUUUAUAAAAAAUACUUUUCACAACUAAAAAUUACAUAAUUAUAUUUAAUAAUUCAAAUUCAAAUAUAUAUAGUUAAAUACAAAAAUAUUCUAGAUAAAAAAAUAGUAAAUUAAAAUUUAUAAUGUGGCGUUAUAAAAUUACUAUAUGAAUAAAUCAUUGUAGAGACAAAUCAAUCAAAGAAGUAGAUUAAUUUUAAAUAUAUUUUUUUUAAACUAAUAGUAUUAGAUAAAGAAAUUUAAAAGCUGCACUACAUGAGAUUCGAACCCAAGACCGUUAGCCUUAGGCAUUAAGGUCUUAUCAUUUGGCCAACACACGCACACAUGAAUUUUAACUUUUUAUGCGGGCAUAGUUGUACUCCCUCCGUCCACAAAAAGUGUGUGGUGGAGUGGAGAGCACAAGUUUUAAUGAAAAAGUAGAAAUGUGUGAUUUUAGUGUUAAAGGAUAGUAUUGGGCCCACCAAAUUAUAAAAGUAAAUGGUGAGUAUUUUGUAAAUAUUGAGUGUAAAUAGGGUUUAAAGUAUAAAGGUGAUUUCUAAAAAAAGAAAACACGCAAUCUUUGCACACGGGUGAAAAUAGUAAUAAACACAUAAUCUUUGUGGACGGAUGGAGUAUAAGUUAAUUUUCUUGAUACUGACAUAACCAUAAUACAAACAUCUAUAUCUUGUUGUAAAUAUUGUAUAAAUUUAUAUUUACAUAAUAAUUAUAGGGAGCUUUGCUUUUUUACCCAACUUUUAAAAACUAUAUUUAAGAAAGGACAAAUAGCGUCAAAAUCUCUAUAGUUUUGCCCGUUUCGCAUUUUUUCCAUGACUUAAAAAUUUCUCGUUAAAAGCCAUGACUAUUGCUCCGAUUCUUGUUUUUCCCUUAGUGACGUUUUUCGGCCAUUAAUUAGAUGACAUGUCACCAACGUGACACACUUAUGCUGAGUAGGUUAAUUAGAAGCUAAACGACGUCGUUUUGAGUCUAACCUAAUAGCGUCAAAAUCCUGAAGUUUGGCGCAAUUCUUGUUUUUCCCUUGACCUUAAAAUCUCGCGUGAAGGAACUACGGAGCAACGCCAACAUAUUCUCCGACGUCGGAAACUCUACAACAAUUUAGAGCAGCGAUCAAUACUAUCUUAUACUUCUUCCAUACUGUAUAAAAACCCUAGUAUAGAGACAUAAAGAGAGAGAGAGAGAGAGAGAGACAGACAGACUAGUGAUGGGUCCAUUGUCCUCAACACGAAUUGAAAACCACAAUUCCAUGGCCAUGGCCACAUACUACUCGAGCGUUGGGGUGACAGUUUUCGCUCGAUGACGAUAGGGAAGACAUGACAAUAUUUCGUCUUCAAUGGCUGAUAGUGGUUUGGGGAUUUUUUUUUGGUGAAGAACCCCUAAUUUCAGUUUGAUUUCAUUUAAUUCUCAAAGAAAAUAUAAAACGACAACGUUCUAUAUUAUGAAUUAAACACUGUCGUCCAUUUCGACGGAAAAUUAAGCCUACGUAGAUUUUUGAUGGCUAUGUCAGCAUAAGUUUGGGGGAAGAUCGGUUUUAUGGGAAAAUUAAUAAUCGGGAUUAAGUUCAUGAAUUUUAACGAGAAAUUUUUAGGUCAUGGGAAAAAUGCGAAACGGGCGAAACUAUAGGGAUUUUGACACUAUUUGCCCUUUAAAAAAUACCCACUUUUGUUUUGCUACAUCCCAUAACCUUUGUAAAUUUUUUAAUAUUUCACUAUUGUUGGGAACUUAAUGAAAUAUCCUAGCUCUAGUUUGGAUGAUACCAAAAUCCUUAAGUGUUCUUUGUAAUAGACUAAAACUUUUCGAACUCAAGUGUUGGAGUUCCUUUUCUAGUUUAGCUUGUGUUCUGAAGACUGAAGACUGAAGACCGGAGGAAUGGAGAAUGAAGAACGAAAGACUGAAGACUGAAGAGCUCGACUGAUAUUGCGAAUAAAGGCUGAGUCAAGCACUGAUGUUUGACUGAUCGCGUUUCUCAGCUAAAGGAUCAGUUGCGAACUGAUUCAUUAAUGUAGGCCAUGUGGAAUCAGCGGACUGAUACUAAAGUCAAGUAUCAGUUAACAUUCUUCCUCGUACUGAACCUCCAAAGUUAAAAGGAAGCCACGCACUCCCAGAGUACAGCCGCAUUAAAUGCAAAGAUUUUAAGGAUCUUCCUUUCUCUGCAGAGCAUUCCUUUUUGGUGACUACCUUUUCAGAGAUGUCCUAUCUCCUAGCCGUUCUCACCAAACAAGGAACCUCGAAGAUUGAAGCCUCAGCGAAAUUCAAAAUACACUCCAACAGAUGAAUUCUUGAAGACCAUCUCCGCCAACGGAUCUAUUCAAGACCUCUCCUAUAAAUAGAGCUCGAGGAUCACUUCAAUCUUCAUCGAUUCAAAUGCAUAAGCUGAAACGCUGCCGAAUUCGUUACUCAACAAAUCAAAGCCUUCCAAAGUUUGAAUCGAAGAAUAGAAUCACAAAGUCAAAAUCAGUCCACUACUGAUACAUAUAUUCUCUUAUAACCUUAGGCAUAUAUUGUUUAUCCAAAGUCUAAGUUACUGAUAACAGAGAGACUGUUAUCUGUGAUCUAGUUGGUAGUUUUCGAACCUCAUUUCAAUUGAGCGAAAAGAGUGUUUGAAGUUGUGUGGAGUUCAGACCAGUGUUCUGACUCCAGAGAAAUCUUAAUGCCCAGUGUGUACUAAGUGUGUUUAAGAAAUCCAACCCAGUGUGUUGGUACUGAAACGUGUGAUUUCAGUUCAAGGUUUGUUGUGCACCCGUAAGCACAAGCCCAGAGUACUUGUCAGUGUGAUCAACUGACCGUGGAUGUAGGAAUUGGAUUCUGAACCACGUAAAAAUCCCUUUAUCGUUUAUCGCUUUCAGUCUUUACUUUCUUAUUUGUGCGCAAAGUCUUUAUCAACUGAAACUGAUUAACUGCAAAGUGAAACUAAAUCUUGACAACGUGCUUAAUCACAAAGGCUAUUUCUUAAGUAAAGUUUUCCGCUGCCAGUGUUAUUAGUUUAACUGUUAAAUUUUCGGAUAGUCAGUAAGAUUCAUAAUAUUCCUCUGUUUUACAAACCUGACUGAAGCCUAACACAUAUCAGUUAAAGUCUAGGACUUAACUGAUAACUCUUUACUGAAGAGAGAAUCAGUAUCAGUCACCAACCGAAGUUUUGCUAAACUCUUUGGGGAGGACUUACGUGAGCGCAUGGUGUGAGCGCGCAUGGUGUGAGCGCGGGUCUAGGUCACGACCCGACCCGGAUCCGGCUCCACCUUAAAUAUUAAAAAAAAAAUUAUAACUGAUUUUAAUAUAUUAUAUAAAACUGUUAAAGCAUUGAAUAUCAAGAGAGCUCUUAGCUCAGUUGGUUUAGGCUCCACAGCUUAUGCAAGCUAGACCUGGGUUUAGGGAUGGCAGUGGAUCUUGGACCCGGUCCAGAUCCGUGGAUCCAGAUCCGUUUCUCAAUUUUUCGGACCCGACGGAUCUGGAUCUGGAUCUCAGUUUUGAAAACGGAUCUGGAUCUGGAUCUUGAAAUUUUAGAUCCGGAUCCGGCCCAGAUCCGACCCGUGGAUCCGUUUUAUUUUAUAUAUAUUUUUUAUAUUUUAUAUUUAGUUUACUAAUAAUAUUAACUAAAUUAAAAUAAUAAAUAAAUUAUAUUUAAAAGAAUAAAACUAAAAGUAAUUAGAUAAAAGUAUUUUGUGUUAUAUUUUUCAUGAUGGAAAUUAGAUGUUUUUGGUUUUGUGAAAUUUUUUUGAUUUAAUUUAAAAAUAGUAGAUCCAUGGAUCUGGACCCGUGGACCCGCGGAUCUGGCGGAUCUGGAUCUGGAUCCAAAAUUUUUAGAUCCACGGAUCUGGAUCUGGAUCUAGUAUAUGAAAACGGAUCUGGAUCUGGUAUUGGUCAGACCCGGUCCAGAUCCGGCCUGUUGCCAUCCCUACCUGGGUUCGAAACCCACUAGGAGCGAAAUUUUGGGCUUCAUUUCAUUUAUUUUGUUAUUUCUUUUAAUACUUGUAGUUUCUUUCUUUUAAGUAUAUAGUUUCAUUUAUUUUGUUAUUUCUUUUAAUACUUGUAGUUUCUUUCUUUUAAGUAUAUAGUUUCUUUUUUUUGUAGUUUCAAAAUAAUACUUGUAGUUUCUUUCUUUUAAGUAUGUAGUUUCUUUCUUUUAAGUAUGUAAUUUCUUUAUUAAAAUAAUACUUGUAGUUUUUUUUUGUAGUUUAUUAAAGUAAUACUUGUAGUUUUUGUUUUUUUUUUGUAGUUUCUUUCUUUUAAAUAUAGUUUUUUUUUGUAGUUUUUUUCUUUUAAAUAUGUAAUUUUUUUAUUAAAAUAAUACUUGUAGUUUCUUUCUUUUAAGUAUGUAGUUUCUUUAUUUUAAAUAUGUAAUUUCUUUAUUAAAAUAAUACUUGUAGUUUCUUUCUUUUAAGUAUGUAGUUUUUUUUUGUAGUUUCUUUCUUUUAAGUAUGUAGUUUCUUUCUUUUAAGUAUGCAAUUUCUUUAUUAAAAUAAUACUUGUAGUUUCUUUCUUUUAAUACUUGUAGUUUCUUUCUUUUAAGUAUGUAGUUUCUUUCUUUCUUUUAUAGUUUCUUUCUUUUAUACUUGCAGUUUUUUUUUUCUUUUUUCUAUAGUUUAUUUCUUUUAAUACUUUUAGUUUCUUUUAAGUAUGUAGUUUCUUUUUUCUUUUCGUUUCAAAUUUUUAAUUAUUUUUUUAUUUUAGUUUGAAAAAUAGUAUCAUUUGUUCUAUAUUAAAGGUUUCAUUUAGUAAGAAAAAUAGUAUCAUUUGUUCUAUAUUUAAAGGUUUCAUUUAGUAAGAAAAAUAGUAUCAUUUGUUCUAUAUUUAAAGGUUUCAUUUAGUAAGAAAAGUAGUAUCACUAAUAAAUGAUAUUAAAAGUUUCGCUUAAUGAUAUUAAAAGUUUCGCUCUUUUCUUUGUUCAAUAUUAAAGGUUUCAUUUAGUUUGAAAAAAUAGUAUCAUUUGUUCUAUAUUAAAGGUUUCAUUUAGUAAGAAAAAAUCAUUUGUUCUUUUUUCUAUAUUAAAGUUUCAUUUAGUAAGAAAAUAGUAUCAUUUGUUCUACAAUAUUUCAAAUGACACUUACAUGUAAAUGACACUAUACUAAACCCUAAACACUAAACCCUAAACAUUAUGACACUAUCAAAUGACACUAUGACAGUUCAAAUGACACUACAAGAUUUCAAAUGACACUACGAGAUUUCAAAUGAAACUUCAAUAAUUAAAAUGACACUAUAAGAUUUCAAAUGUUACUAUGACAUUUCAAAGACACUUCGAAUGACGCUAUGACAUUUCAAAUGACACUAUGACAUUUCAAAUGACAUUAUAACAAUUCAAAAUGACACUAUAACAUUUCAAAUGACACUACAAGAUUUAAAAAUAACACUAUGACAUUCAAAUGACACUACAAGAUUUUAAAUGACACUAUGACAUUUCGAAUGACACUACAAGAUUUCAAAGACACUACAAGAUUUCAAAUGACACUAUGCCAUUUCAAAUGACACUUCAACAUUUAAAUGACACUAGAAGAUUUCAAAAUGAUACUACAAGAUUUUAAAUGACACUAUGCCAUUUCAAAUGACACUUCAACAAUUCAAAUGACACUACAAGAUUUCAAAUGACACUAUGACAUUUCAAAUGAAACUUCAAAAAUUGAAUGACACUACAAGAUUUCAAAUAACACUAUGACAUUUCAAAGGACACUACAAGAUUUCAAAUGACACUACAAGAUUUCAAAUGACAUUAUUCCAUUUCAAUGAAACUUCAACAAUUGAAAUGACACUACAAGAUUUCAAAUGACACUAUAACAUUUCAAAUGACACUACAAGAUUUCAAAUGACACUAUGAGAUUUCAACUGACACUAUAACAAUUCAAAUAGACACUAUAACAUUUGAAAUGUAUAGUGUCAUUCGAAAUGUUAUAGUGUCAAUUUUAAGAUUUCANGACACUAUAACAUUUUGAAAUGUUAUAGUGUCAUUCGAAAUUUAUAGUGUCAAUUUUAAGAUUUUAUGUAGUCCAUUUUAAAUUUUCAAGUGUGCUUUUUGAAAUGUUAUAGUGUCAUUUUGAAAUGUUAUAGUGUCAUUUUAAAAUGUUAUAGUGUCAUUCGAAAUGUUCAAUAGUGUCAUUGCAAAUCUUAUAGUGUCAUUCGAAAUGUUAUAGUGUCAUUUGAAAUGUUCAAAGUGUCAUUUGUUGAAACUAUUAAAGUGUCAUUUUGAAAUGUUAUAGUGUCAUUUUUAAGAUUUCAUGUAGUGUCAUUCGAAAUCUUAAAGUGUCAUUUUGAAAUGUUAUAGUGUCAUUCGAAAUGUUCAAAAGUGUAAUUUCAAAUGUUAUAGUAUCAUUCGAAAUGUUAUAGUGUCAUUUUAAAAUGUUAUAUAGUGUCAUUCGAAAUGUUCAAAAGUGUCAUUGCAAAUCUUAUAGUGUCAUUCGAAAUGUUAAAGUGUCAUUCUAAAUCUUAAAGUGUCUUUUGAAAUCUUGUAGUGUCAUUCGAAAUGUCUAAGUGUCAUUCAAAAUCUUAAAGUGUCUUUUGAAAUGUUAAAGUGUGUUUUGAAAGCUUGUAGUGUCAUUUAUAUGUCGGAGUAGUGUCAUUUGAAAUAUAGUAGUGUCAUUUAUAUUUUGAAUAGCGUCAAUUAUAGGAAUUAUCAUUUGCAAGGUUAUAGUGUUGAUUCGAUGUAUUAAUAGUGUCACUUAACAAGUAACGUUUUCUUGAAGCAGGAAUAUAACUUCUAAGCAAUCAAUGAAACCAUGUACAAGAAGAUAUACUGACAUUCUUCACUUGGAAAUGCAGGCAAAUUGGAGUAUUAUGCAAGUAAGAUCUCAUUGUGCUAGUAGAUAUAUAAAACCUUUUCUUGUAUGUUCUACAUAUAUUUUUCAUCUUUUUGAUUACCUGUUUUCUCCAUUGAACAGUUUACUUGUACCUUGCGGCCUUAGCAAUUGGUAACUUCUCACUACCCUCAGAAUAUAUAAUACAAAAUAUAAUAGUUUCAUUUUAAAUAAAUGAUAGUGUCAUUGUUUUUCUCUCCACCAACUAAGCUAAACCGUGUCAUUUUCUAUUGUUAAAAGUGCAUGUCCAUUAACCGUGUCAUUUUCUAGUGUUAAAAGUGCAUGUCCUCAGAAUAUAUAAUACAAAAUAUAAUUUAUUAGUGUAGAUAGUUUCUUUUACUAAGAAAAAUAAUAUCAUUUUCUAUUAUUAAAAGUGUCAUUUAUCAUUUUAUUCGAAAGUAUCAUUCAUAUGCAUUAAAAGUGUCAUUUGAGUGAUUUAAAAGUGUCAUCAAUAAAUAAACAUUGCUCUCACUUCUAUGAUCCAACAAGCAAGAAAAAACUUGAAACAAACUUCGAAUAUCAUUCAAUUCCAUCAAAGCUAAUCAAAACUUGAAACAAGAAUAGCUAUGUUGCAUCUCUGGUUCUUUUCGACCCUGCCACAUCAUGUUUUUGUUACACUUGUUAAAAUAGCUAUGCUGCAUCUCAGUAGGAAAUUUGAAUUGAAACAAAAACAAGCACACAAGCCAAAGCUACACAACAAUCCACCAAACAACUUCUCUAAGAAAAAUGAAAAUCAGGCAUACGAAACCAAAAUCUGCUACUGUGCCCCCAAAUUCUGGAAUUAGAGAUGCAGUCGAGGGAGAAGGGGAAUUAGGGCUCAAGAAGGAUAAAAAAGGGGUCUUGAAGGAUUAAUGAUGGGUGUCAGGACGGCGGAGAGCCGCGACCGGAGCUGGGCAGUAGAACGACGGCGGUGUCAGGACGGCGGCGGCAGGUGGUUCCCGUCGUUCGACCGCAUGCAAGAAAAAGAAGGAUGCCGCAGCCACGCCUCUUGUAAGUGGUCGUCCGACCGAGAGAGUUGGUGGUAUUGGUGGUGAGAGAGAGAGAGGUGGGCGCUGGUUUACCUGGUAUUUGCUGCUCUGCGGAGGUGGCGCCGAUGCGAGAGGAGGCGGUAAGACGCUGGCUGUUCGGUGAUGGAGGAAGGCAGACGAGACGGCGACGAUUCUGUCCAUGAGUCGUUAGAGAAGAGAAGGAGAAGAUGUCGUUGGGCCCCGGCGGCGGCGGCCGCAGUGCUGCUGUCGUUUGGUUUAGAGAGAGAACCUUCUGAAAUUAGGGGGGGAGAUUUGGGGGGUUUUGAGUGAAGUGGUGGAAGGUAGUGGAGAUGGUGACUGCGGCGGAUUUAAGGAGAUAGAAGAAAAGGGUAGGUUUCCAGGAUUUUUUUUAUAUGAUGGUUCCGGAUCCGGGUUGGAUCGCACCAAGAUCCGCGCGCAUGGGGUGAGCGCUCAAUUUGUGAGGCGCGCAUUUAAGUUUUUGUGAUAAGAAAAAUAUAACUGCGCUUUUUUCCUUUACAAGUUUUCAGUAUUUACACUUUUAAAUUAUAUCUUAAAUGGAAGCUUAGGGUUGAAACUAGCAAAGGCAGAGUAGAAAUAUUGACAUUUUCGGAAAUAUUUAAGUUAUAUAUUGAUUCGACAUAUUCCUACUCUUGACCUAUGAAUAUGAAAUGAAAAGAAAUAGUCACUCAUUUCCACUCUUACACCAACAUGGAAUCCUAUACGAUUUGUGAGCUAUUUUACCCCCUGCCCUGGCCCCACGUGUUAUGUUUUAGGGUUGAUGGAUUAUUUGACCCCAUUUGAACUUCUCCUUAUCAUUUACUCGAUCACAUAACGAUGUGCAUUUAUUUACUAUCUAUAAAUUAUUACUUUUAUAUGUGUGUGAUAUUACAAAAACAAUAGUACAUGUGUGACUAUGCCGGUUGACUUAUUAUCAUGAAUAGAUAAGGGUGUGCAUUCAGUUAUAUGAUUCGAUUUUUGUUAAAAUUAAAUUAAAUCAUACUUUUUCCGUCACAAUCAAGAUGCUACAUAUUUUUUUUUCUGGGCUCCCAACGAAGAUGCUAUAUUUCUAAAUAUGGAAAACAUAAGAUUUUAAUUGCACAAUUAAAUUAAUUAAUCAUCUCUUAUUACUUCUCUCUCCUACAUUAUCACUUUAUUACUUUUUUCUUCCACUUUAUACUUUUAUCUACAAUUUAAAACAUAAUCUACAACUCCUUAAAUUCGUGUCGAAAAGAAAUGUAUCAUCUUAGCUGGAUAAGGGAUAUUUUUUUUCGGUUAAAAAAACAAAACAAAAUCGAACCGAAUUAACCAAAUUAAAUUAAUCAAAAUUUUUAUAAUUAAAAUAAAAUGAACCGAAAAACGAAUUAAUCCAGAAAAAAAAUUGAAAAAAUGAAAAUUCCGAAAAAAUAACUAAUACUCCCUCCGUCCCAAACGAAAUGUCCUCCUUCUUUUGGGCACGCUUAUUAAGGAGGCAUUAUCUACCUAAUCUAGUAGAAUAUUAUAGUACUCCAUCCGUCCCAACUUUUAGUAUCCAACUUUCCUUUUUUGGCCGUCCCACAUUUUGGUAUCCAUUUCUAUUUUUAGUAAAAGUAGGUGGGGCCCUUACUCCACUUUAAUUAUUUUAACUCUCACAUAAAAUGUGGGACCCUUAUUCCACUCACAACACAUCAAUCACUUUAUUAAAAUCCGUGCCGUUCUCAACUGGAUACCAAAAGCCGGGACGAAUGGAGUAUAUUUUAUCAUUAUCCAUCAUUCAUUUUAAGAACAUACAUAUAUACAUAACAACCUAAUAAUUAAAAUUUACAAUUAGGGUUAGAAGAUUAAAAAUUUAGAAGUUAGAUAUUAUAAAAUUCUAAUUAAAUAUGUUAAAAUUUAUAAUAUUUAUAUAUAUGCACUCCAAUGAGACCCCUUAAUUUUCGUGUAACAUGAAGCACGAUCUGGUGCGUUUAUUUUAUCAAUUCUAUGGCUGAUAUUGUAUCUGGAGGGAGAUUUUUUUUCGCAGGCUUCGAAUCCUGGAGGGAGCAGAAUAUUUUAAAUUUUGUUAUUCAUCAGUAUAUACUGCCUUAUUCAUCAGUAUAUAUGUCUUAUUCAUUACCAAUUUUUUAAAUUUAUUUUUCAUCAGUAUAUAUAUUUUGUUCAUUAGUAUUAUAUGUCUUAUUCAUUCUCCUCAUGUUACACGAAAAAUAGGGAGUCUCACUGGAGCGCGCUCCUAUAUAUAUAUANAUCCUGUUGCUGUCGCCGGCGAGCGGCGCCGAGAAGAGAGGGAGAUGCAUGGACUCUAGCAGGCGGCAUCGCUAGGAAAGAAGAGAGAGAUGGAGAACGAGAGAUCGAGGAUGAGAGAAGAGAGUGGAGAAAGGAAACAGUGGUUUUUUUAUAUAUAUAUCGGGUCAAAUGACCCGGUUCUCUUUGUUCGACCCGACCCAAGCCCGCGCGCAUAUUGUGAGCGCACAAUUAUAACGGCGCUCAUAUAAGUUUUUGUGAAACUCUUUUACUGUCAAUGGUUGUGUUGGUUUGUCUUAAGUUUUAAAAUAGCCUAUAGGUGUAUUUCCCCCCCCCCCAUACACCUAUUCCAGAGCUUCCGGGACCUAACAACUAGUAUUGAAAAAUUUUGUUUGUGUCAUACAAAAUACCGUAAUCAUUGACAUAGUGAUUAACAAUGGUUGAAAUCAGCGUACUGUACACUGACAGCUAAAUUGACAGGAGCCAUUUAAUUGAAAUCCUUGUAUAUUUGCGCAAAUUCAACGUGUAGAAUAGACUAAUUUGGCGCAAAAAUAUAAUUAACGCAAAAAUGUAUUUUAAAUAUUGAUUUGCGCAAUUUUCUCGUUCCUCAAUUUGUGCAAAAAUGCAAUUUACACAAAUUCGAGCACUUUUCAGAAUUUUCGCAAAAUUCCAUUAUUUCCGCAAAUUAAUUCUAGUAAUUCCGCAAUAAUUUAACAAUUCACGCAAACUUUGGAAUUCUGAAAAUUAAUAGUUCAAUUUCACGCAAUAGGAAUAAUUUGACUCAAAAUAAUAAUAAAGUUCACGCAAAAACCUUGCAAUUGUACACGCAAAAAAAGUUCCACGCAAUAAUUUCACAAUUCACGCAAAAAAAAAAAAUUAAUUUUACAAUUCACGCAUAAUACUUUCACAAUUCAAGCAAAAAUAUAAAUUUAACAAUGUAAUUGAGGCACCAUUUCAUACACAAUUCAUGCAAAAAUAUAACAAUGAAAACACAAUUUUGCGUUAAUUUUGCAUACACAUUUCACGCAAAAAUAUAAAAUUGAAAUUAGUACAACACAUAUUAAUACAAGUCUGAAAUGUGUGUUGGUGAAUUUACGCAACAAUGUUCAAUUCACGCAAAAAUUGACAAAUUAUACAUAUCACGCAAAAAUGUAAAUUUAAUGUAAAUAAAUUCGGUCAACAUAAAUAAAGCAUAUUCAAACUGACAAAUUCAGAAGCACAAAUAUUUAGGGCACAGAUGCUUGUACCAAAUAUUAAUAAAAAAAUGAAAUAGUUAUGAGAGGUAUUGAAUUUAAAAAGUGGGUAUUGUGUGAAUAUAAUUUGAGAAAGUUAGGUACUUUCAUAUAUUACCACAUAAUUAUAGAUUAAAAAUAUAAGUAAGCACUGUUGAUGUUAUGAGAUUAAAAUAAAAAAUAAAACUGAAAAUGUAUUAUAUGUGUCUAUAUAAGUAUAACUAUGUUAAAAAAAAUUAUCGAUCAAAAAAUAAAUAUAUGACUUUAAGUUAUUUAAAAUAUUUAAAUGAUAAAAUAUGAUAAUUAUAUAUAUAUAUAUAUAUAUAUAUAUAUAUAUAUAUAGUGUGNNNNNNNNNNNNNNNNNNUCCUACUACUAUAUAUAUAUAUAUAUAUAUAUAUAUAUAUAUGUAAUAUAUAUAUAUGUGUUAUCAGUUUAAUAUUAGAACCUCACAAUAAAUUUAAGUAGUCAUUUAUUUACGUUGUCGAAAUGUAUUUGUUGAAGUUUAUUUUGAGCCGAUUCUUGAUUGAAAAAGAUAAUGACUUGAAUUGUAUAUAUACCAAUAGUUGAAAUAAAGUAACUAACUAUCCUUAAUAUUAAUAUGUAUUUAAAUGGAGUGAUUAUGAGAUUUUAUAUAAAAAUAUAAAAAAAGUAUAUUUUUAUUGUAUUUAUAAUUUUUUAUAUAAUAAUUGAGUUAAUAUCUAUUUUAUAUAUAAAAAGAAGGGUAAAUAUCUGUUUCUGACUUAUUGGUUGGGCAUUUUCUCAAAAAUGUCCUACCCUAAAGAUAAUUACAAAAUCAUACCAUCGUUCCAUUUUUUUCCUUGUUUAUGGCCUGCAAAAAUAAUUCGACGAUCGAUAUUUGACAUAACCAAUUGUCACGUUGUUAGUACACGUGUAAUACUAAUAAUAUAAAAAAACAACAUAAAUUCCACAUAGAAAAAACGCAUCUAUACGUAAAGGAAUAGACUUGAACACACAAAAACGUUUUCUCAAGAGAACCCUAUCACUGGCGGAUCUAGCAUGGUGCAUGGGGGUGCAACUGCAUCCCAAAAAAAAAAAAUUAAUAGUAUUAAUAUUCAUAUAUAAAUUAUUUUAUAUUUAAGGUUUGCACCCCAAAUAAAAGUUUUAAUCCUAAAUUCAGUUUUUAAAAUCCUAAAUUCCAUUGGCCCAACUAAAAAGAGAGCCAAUCAUCUCUUUCUUUUUCAUUCUUUUGAUCGAGCCCAUCAGUUAAUCAAUCCUUUACCUCAAUUCUUAAUUAAAUAAAAAAAAUUGAACCUACAUAUUUUGUAUUUGGAAUGCAGAGUUAUUACUAAUUGUAUUUGUAUUUUAGUAAAAAAAAAAACAAAAAAUGUCUAAAAUGUACUGAAGGCCUAAAAAAAAAAUCCCGGGGGCUACCGCCCCCGAACCCCCGUAAAAGUUCAACCCCCUCAAAAAAAUCCUAGAUCCGUCAGUAUUUAUAAGAUUAUUUUUUGCACCCCCAGUUUUUUAAUCUUGGAUCCGCCACUGAACCCUAUUACCAUUCCACCUACUAAGAAUCUCAAUCGUUCUAAAGUAUUCCUCAUUCACCUGUAGAUAUUUAAUGAACACUAGUAACUAACAUUGGCAUAAUGAAACAUUGACAUAUUAUAUGAGUUUGGAGAUGAAAUAUAUAAUCAAUAAAAUAGGGUUGUAGGAGUUGCACUAACAAAACCCUGAAUUACCUCACCAUCAACUAUUAUCUCAAUCAUCCUUGGCAACAUAAUGUUGUUCUUGAAAAAUUUAGCCAGUUUUGAUUCAAUUGCCUGAUAAAUUGCAUGAACAAGAACUUAAUGAAAUCUACUGUAGGGGCAUGUCGAGGCCCGUCGUCAAGACCUCAGGUAAAAUGAUAUUUGUAAUUUAUUGUGCGCUGCAAUCAAAAUCAGUUAAUGGCAAGUAUAAGGUCGAACCCGCAAAGAGUCGGUGUAUCUUGGUACUCCGUAUCACAAAAGUUGAUGGAAUGCACUUUGGUCUAAGUGUCAGGAUUAUGGUCUAGAACAUAAUGUACACUUUGAUUGUAUAUGAAAAACUGAAAUAAAACACAACAAAAUAUCAAUAAUAAACGAAACAUGGUUUGAGCAUAGUCUAGUUAGGUAUGGGUGUAUUUUCGAUCAUCGGUUCAAGGAUAUUCACAGCGCCUUCAUGUCAUUGGUUAUGAGCCGUUUGAUUAGUGGGAUGUGCCCCCAUUGUCACAUUAUCACGAACACAAGCUUAAUCAACCCUUAUCCGCGCCCUUCGUAUUGGGUGAAAGUGGUCUACUUUCAUCCCUCUGCCUUGGUAGAUUCCCUGCAUCAAAACUUGAGUUUGCGGGUAUGCCCAGAACGCAUUACUAAGUAGCAUACUCAAAUGGUCACAGGCAUGCUCAGAGGCAUACUACCACCGCCCGCAUCAGCCACACUUCACGGAAUGGGAGAUCUCCACACUUUUGCCUGCGUACUGUUUGUAACUUGGUUUUGCCCAAUCACAAUUGAUUUUACCAUCUGGGCAAAAUUCACAAUUGAUCUUAAUUCUUAAGCAAUCACAAUUGAUUUUACCAUCUGGAAAAAUUUCACAAUUGACAAAAUUCAAAUCUUAAUUCUUAGAAUUUUGACCAAGAAGAGGUUAGGUUUGUCUUAGCUUACAUUAUCGUUGAUGAGCAUCCAUUUAAGUAUGUCGAAAGAGAGGGAUUUCAAUACUUUGUUUCUAAGGCUUGCCCAAGAUUUAAGAUCCCAUCUAGAUGUACCGUUUCACAUGAUUGCUUUAAGUUGUAUGAGAAUGAAAAGAAUUUGUUUAUGACAAUACUAAAAUCCACCAACCAAAGGGUUUGUCUUACCACAGAUACAUGGACAUCUACUAAGAAAGAGAAUUACAUGUGUUUGACUGAUAAUGAUUGGAAACUGCAUAAAAAGAUUAUUAAUUUUUGUCUAAGUUCUAGUCACAGAGGUAGAGACAUUGGUUGGAAAUUUGAAAAAUGCUUGCAUGAUUGGGGAUUGGAGAGGGUGUUCACUAUUACAGUUGAUAAUGCUUCCUCAAAUGAUGUUACAAUUGGUUAUUUGAAAGAAAUUGUUAGUCAAUAGGAGGAAAAACAUUAGAAACUGUGAUCAUAUGCAUAUGAGAUGUAUUGCUCAUGUAUUUAAUUUAGUGGUGCAAGGUGAUCUUAAAUAGAUUGGAUCUUCUGUGAAAAAAAAUUAGAAAUGUUGUUCGGUUUGUUAGACAUUCUGGUGCUAGAUUGCUUAUGUUCAAGGAAUAUUGUGAGCUGGAAAAAAAAUUUAAGUAAGAGUUUGUUGUGUUUAGAUGUUCCUAUUAGAUGGAACUCGACAUACUUGAUGUUGAAGGCUGCAAUAACAUUUGAGAAAGCAUUUGCUAGAUUUGAUGUGUUAUACCCGACAUAUGGAAUUGAUCUUGUAUGUUAGGAGGGGGUACCUAACAAAGCUGAUUGGGUGAAAGCAAGAAAGAUGCUCAAUUUUUUUGACAUUUUAUCAUGAUGGAAAACGAAUGAAUCUAAAUAUCCCGUUCUCUCCAAAGUGGCUCGUGAUGUUUUGGCAGUACCUGUCUCAACUGUAGCGUCAGAGGCAGCAUUUAGCACUGGAGGAUGAGUACUUGACCCAUUUAGGAGUUUGUUAAGUCCUAAAGUUGUGGAGUUUCUCAUUUGUGGUCAAGAUUGGCUUCACAACUCCUACCCCAAUUGAUGUUGAGGAACUUUAUGAAGAUGUCCAAAAAAUUGAACAAAGUAUAUGACUAUUUAAACUACAUUUUUUUAUAUGUUUUCAAAUUUACGAUUCUCAAUUAAUUUGUAUUAUUGUUAUGUAUAAUUCUAUUUUUUUUAUUAUUUGUGAGUAUGCAAAUUUGAUAGUGCAAGCUCCAACAAAUUAAUCAAUCUCCAUUAAUUGUUGGAACUUGAAAGCUAUUGAAGAUGAUUAGAUGAAUGUUUAUUGAUUUUGAGUUUUGUUAACAUUGAAAGUUUGGACUCUUUUUUUUGUAGUUUGAUGGUAAUUUGUUGUUGAUUUGAUGGAUAUUUAGAAACUCUUUGGUUUGUUGGUUAUGGAUGUUCUUGUAUUUAUUUUGGUGGAUGUGAUGAAUGGAUUUAAUACUUAUGCAAAUCAUAAUUAUUAGGUUGUUAUAUAUACAUCUUUGUUCUUGAAAUGAAUGAUGAAUAAUGAUAAAAUAUAGUAUAAUAUAAUUUUGAGCAGAUUUUUUUUUAUAUAUAAUUUUUUUCGGUUUUCUUAGAAUUUUUGAUUUUUUUCAGUUUUGUUUUUCGAUUUUUUCGAUUUUUUCAGAUUAAUUCGGUUUUUCAGUUCGAUUCGAUUUUAAUUUUAAAAGUUUCGGUUAAUUCGGUUCGGUUUAUUCGAUUUGGUUUGAUUUUUUUAAACCAAACAUUAAUUUGAUUUGAUUUGGUUUUAGCAAAAAUCAAACCAUAUAACCGAAUGCACAUCCCUAGUCCUUAUCCCUUGUAUAACUGCUGCAAUCUAGUCCUGAAAACUGCCAAUCAGUCUGCAUAAUGCUGGUUGAGAUCAUGCUUCUGAAAAGUAGGAACAAACUAGCCCACUAUCUUUAGGCCAUGAUAAAACCAACUUCCAUUUAUUCGAACGUGACCAACUCCACAAGACACAUUAUUCAUGCACUAAAGAAUAUGAAAACAUAAAAGAUAGGGAAAGAUAAAAUACGUGCAAUUACUACUAGUGAGUUGAAGUACAACUUCAAGACAGACACCCGAAAUAUUAGUUGUAUAUCGAAAAUGUUAAUAACAAAAUGUUAUCAAUAUUUCAUUAAACACUGAUGGAGCCAACAUUGACUCUAACAAAAACAUUAUUCAAAUACACAUUUCCAUGAAAUCUAGAUUAACAGCAACCCCAUAAAUCAACUUCGCCUUCUCGACGCCAGAAGUCAUGAUGCACAUUUUAAUGAUGAAUGUGAACGUCAUUUUAUUCACGCCAAUACCUUGAAAAAUCAUCAAAUUGUUAACCUAAAUCGCUCAUUAAUGUGUGUUCUGAUUAACAGAUUCCAAAUGAACGUGGACAUAUAUAUUAUCAAUAUGUUGGAACAUUAGGGCGGUGUAAUUGAACUCCCAAUAUAAAGUACAAAGGCGAAUCAAUCUGGCGACUAUUACUUGGUCGUUGUGGAGAAUGUUGUGGGUGAUUUUGGCGUGGAUUUGUCAUGCGAAAUUUGGGUUUUUAACUCAAUGCGAAAUUUAUCCUGUAAAAAGAUUGAGUUUUUGGAAAUAAAAUAUCUAGUGUGAUAUUGUUUUAUUCAGUAAAAAACAAAGUUUUAUUGGUGGUGGGAUGUUGAGUCCACCUAGACAAAUUCUGACUUCCACGUCAAUUUUAAAUUUGAGAAUUUAAUUUCAUAGAAAAAUCAUAAUAAAUUGAACUUUUAUAUAUUACUAGCAUUUGCAUCCCGUGCAAUGCACGGGAAAAUAUUUUUUAUUUUUUAUAUUUAUAUAAAAAUUAAUACUAAUUUAAUUAUCAUACUCAUAAAUAUAAUAAAAUUUAAUUUUAACUAAAUAUAUUUGAAUUGAAUAUUAAAAAAUUUAAAAAUAAUAAGAAUUUACAAUUAUAAAAUUUGAUAUUAUGAAAGCAAAAAAAGUAAAAAAUAAAAAAAAUACUAAUAAAAAAUUAAAAAUAUAUUUUUUUUCAAAAAGAUGAGAAAUGCGAGAGAAAAUUAUAAAAUUUUAAUAUUUAAACAAAUUUAAUUUUUACAUUUAAAUCAAAUAUUUACAUAAAACAUAUCAAAUUAAAGCUCUUAUCGUGAUCUUUAAUUUGAUAUGCAUAUUAAAUAUUUUAUAAUUAAUCGAAUUUCACAAUUUUGGUAAGAAAUAAAACAACAAAUAAUAAGUUAAAGAGAUGAAAAAUAAAAAGAAAAAUAUAGUUUAAACAUAAACCUUUAAUUUUAUUAUAACUAAUUUUUNNNNNNNNNNNNNNNNNNNNNNNNNNNNNNNNNNNNNNNNNNNNNNNNNNNNNNNNNNNNNNNNNNNNNNNNNNNNNNNNNNNNNNNNNNNNNNNNNNNNNNNNNNNNNNNNNNNNNNNNNNNNNNNNNNNNNNNNNNNNNNNNNNNNNNNNNNNNNNNNNNNNNNNNNNNNNNNNNNNNNNNNNNNNNNNNACUAAUAUCCCUUAAAUUAUGAACAUUGAUGUUAGCACUUAGCACACCGUGCGUUUACUCGAAUAAAAUACACGAGACACCAAAAUCUCCACAUAUUCCGCAACUAAAACACUAUAAAUUAGUGAAACGUAACAAUUAUUAUCUCUUAUCUAAAAUGAAAAACAAAACAAAGAUCUAGAAGGCCGGUCGGUCAAACCUCAAACUGUUACUCGGAAAUAGUUUGUGAAGUCCAAGUAAUUUUUAGGAAUGUUCACAUUAUGGAUGCACAAUUAUGAUAAAAUAAAUAAAGAUUAUAGAUUUAUCCAAUUUAAAUAAUAAAAGUCAUCAAUAUAUUCAAUUGAGAAUGAUUUAAUAAUAAAAUGAAUAUCUAUAAAUUUAAAGGUCUUGAAUUUAAACACUUUUACAUAUUCAAGCUUAUAAUAUCGAUUUUAAAAAUAAUUUACCCGUCUUGUAUAAUUUACAGACUAUUACACAUAUGUGGUUCAGUCAACACGCCAAAAAUAGUGGUUGCAGUUUCCUUAAAAAUAAAAAGAAAUCUCAAAUCUCAAUUCCUUGUGUUUUAAUUUGAUUUUAUAUUUUACAGUUAUUAGAAUGGCAAAUGCAUGUAUCCAUUAAUUUAUUGAGUAAAUUAAAUGUAUAAAUAUUUUUAUACAUAUAGUGGCCUGGUGGAAUAAGAGAAAAAUGUUUAGAGCUCCUCUAUCUUUUUUAUAUUUAUAUGAGAUGGAUUAUUAUAUACAAAUUCAUAGGAUUUGCUUUCAUAUUCGUGGCCGAAGGCUCGAAGCCUACCCCGACCUCCGCCACUACAUAUACAUUUAUUUUGUUUAAAUGAUGAAAACAAAUUAUGCUAUUGUCAAUUCAAGUCAAGUUUGUUUCGGUUCUAUCUCACAAAAGUAGCUAGAAAUUAUGGAUCAAGUAUAACCUUUUAAAUAAUAAUCUUGAAGAUAGAUUUUAUGUGACAAUAUUAAAUCCAACUCGAACUCGAUGAUAGUAAUAACUAAUAAAAGAACAUAAAAUGAUCAAUUUACUAGAUUUUGGUUCAAAUGUGGCUCAAUUAAACAUCAAUUUUAAUUUUACCAAAUAAAUUCAAUUUUGAUAAAAUUGAACAAAUCUAAUAGUAGUAAAAUUAAAACCACACUAUAUAUAAUCCGUUCGGUUCAAUCCAUUUAAUAAAGUGAAAUAACAUACUCGUAUAUGUAAACUUUGGCGCUUAGUCUUGACAGAUAAAAGUAACAAGAUUAAUCUUUUGCUUAUUUUAAUGAAUUGAAAUUUUGAAUAUUUCAAAAAUUUUGAUUAUUUUUAUUAUUUAAAUUAAUUUUAUUUGAUUCAUAUCUUAUUAAAAAAAUAAAUUAAAAAAAGGUAUAAUAAUCAAGUUCAAUCGUACAAAGCAAAUGUCUUGUGCCCCUCUGAUCGAAGAAACACACACAAGAGAAAUUUAUUCCGAAAUCAUGCAUAUAUUGUGGCAGGCACAUAUCCGUCUCUAUAUAUGUAAGCAAUAUUCUUGAUUAGUGGAUAUGAAUAGUUGCACAUGAAGCCAACUAUUGUCUCUCAAAGUCAAAGCCAACAACAGCCAAACAAAAUUUUCGUCAAACCUAAACCAAUAAUCUCGCAAUAUUAACAACCAUUAAUUUAAAAAAUAAAAUAAAAAAUGGCAAAAAGAAGAAGCAAUUCUCUCAUUAGCUGACACCAAACCAGUGCAACACCGACUAUAAACCAGUGUCAUCAUAAUUGAUAAUGCUAUAAAAUAGGAGGAGAGAGAAAGAGGAGAGAGAAGCAGGGGAGGGUCUGCAAAGCAACCUCUCUUCUUUGGAUCUCUCAAUUGUUUUAAUAUAUCAUAGUUGAUUUCAAUAGGUACAGGUAUUUGAUUCAGGAGAGAAAAACAUAAAAAAAGAAAAGAAAAGAAAAAGUGGGUAUUUUCUAUUGUAAUUUGCUGGCCCAUUUUGUUUGUCUUAUAUGUUCUCAAUUUUCUUGAAAAGGUGAUUGAUUUAGGAUCCCUUUUUUGUGUAGUAGUCAAUUUUCUUUUUUCUUUUUAAUUCUUGGUUUGUUUCUUUGAGAAAAAAGUUAUGAGCCAAGUUCGUGCAAAUUCAUCUCCUGACUUGGAUUUUCCCAGUACAGGAAAGGAUCAAAGAUAUGAUGAUUUGGCAUUACAAGGUACAAAUCUUGAUUUUUCUUACGUUGUAGUAAAUGAAAUUUUUUAUUUUUGUUUCUCAAUUUGUUUCAUUAUAUGUCAUGUUGUAAAGUUAUGGCAAUUUCAAUUUGAGAUAUGGAAUUAUGUUGUUUUUAUUGUUCUUGCGCGCGCUCUCUCUCUUUAUCUCUCUGCAAAUCUUGAUGUACAACGUUGUAUUAGGCUUGAUUGUGUUGUUAUUUUGUUUUUCCUUAUUUUUUUUAUUUUUUUCAGACGUAGUAAUAAUCUUGAAUUCAUUUUUAAUUUGAUGUUGCAAAGUUGUGGGUAAUUUUAGUUUAAAUAAGCAAUUCUCUCGUAUUUUUUUGUUUUGCUAUGUUUUUGUUGUUCUCAAUCUAAUGAUAUCGGAAUGAAAUCUUGAUUCUUAGGGAGAAAAAAAAAAAGACAAUUCAUGAAAGUGAUGAACUAUUCAAGUGUUUGAUUGAUGGAUGUUAAAAAAAUUGAAUUGAUAUUUCAGGGGUAGCUGCAAAUGUAAAAUUACUGCUAAAACUAAUCCAAGAUCAUCAAUUAGCCUGUGAUCAUGACAAAAGUGAUCAUAGGAGAAUGUUGAGGGUAGCUACAAUGAUGACAAUUUUGGAUAAUGCGAAGGACAGAAUCCAGAAAUGCCAAUCAUUUGGCCUCAAGAAACCGGAUUCCGAGCUGAGGAGGUGCAACACCGACUUGCGCCGCAAUCCCGUCCCUCCGGGCAAAAAGCCCAGUGGUGGGGCGGGGGCGGUGGCCGUGGUGAUCGAGGAGGAGGAGGUGGACGAGGAGAAGGAGCGGUUGAGGCGCGAGCUGAGCUCGAGCAUAGCCGCUCAGAGAAACCUCAGAGCGAUGUGCUCGAGUUUAGGGAAGGAGAAGAAGUUCAUGGAGGCAGAGCUUUCCAAGAAAGUGCAUGAAUUGAGUGAGAUGGAGGAGCUUUUGAACAAUCUCAAGGCACAAAAUGAGACAUUGCGCCAAAAAGUUCAAGAAUGCCUCUCCGAUCACAAGGAGAGGAAGGCCGGUGGUGGUGGCGGAGAAAUGAGCGUGGCGUUGGUGUUGCAAGAGCGGAACAAGGCGCUCUCGGAGCAGUUGAUGAGGUCUCUUGAUGGUUAUAGAUCGAUGAAGAGGAAGCUCAAAGUGGCGCAAGAAGAGAAUACUAUGCUGCAUUCGACUGUGGAUGAGGUUGGGGCCAAAGUUGUGGGAAGUUUGGAGAGGGUUAAGAGUUUGAAGCAACGAGUGACCACGACGACAUCUCCUUCUGGGGGCGAAAUCCCCCUCGAUCUUCAGGAGGAGAUCGAGGGGUUAGAGGGCAUGUUUGAGUGCUUCCAAAUGUUGGUGGAGAAGCACGAGAAGAGGCGGGGCGACUGCGCGCAACCAAAUGGCGAGAUCAAUGCAUAUAAGCCCUCCGUUCUCGCAUGAGACUGGACCAAAGGAUUUUGGAGGGACUAACUUGAAUUUUUGUUGCUAGUAUUUUUGAUUUUUUGCUUUGGAUUAGUUUCUUUUUUGAUGCGAUGGCAUUGUUUGAAGAUGUGAUAUUGUCUUCAUUGUGUGUGAAAAAAAUAGCUGAUGAUUUCUAUAGGUCAUUAGCAUGUAAAUAGUUGUAUCAUAGUCUUCUUGUUUGAAGGCAACCUACAAAACAUUGGUUUUCUAGUAUAGAACAUUUUUAAGUGAAUGUGAUGCUAUGUUGCUGCUGGAAACUUUCGUGAUGAAAUAUUGCAAUCAUCAAGAAAAUCAUGUUUACGAUGUUUUAUGUAUUGGAGAUGCUCACUGAGUAAAUUAAUUUUAACAAAGAAAAGAGAGAAAAACAUCAAUGUUUAGAGUUUUUAUGUUUUUUUUAGUAAUUGAACGAGUUGCAUUGCUAUUCAAUCUAAUACUAUCUAAUUGGACAUCGAUAAAAAGAAUGCAUUUCAUGCGCAAGACAUUACUCACUAUAUAGAUUGGAGUUAAUCAUGAUUACUAGGAAUGACCAUUACCAAUAUAAAGUAGUGAAAACUAUCAAUCAAAGAGUUCCCAUUGGUUUGCAGAAGGAGAUGGUUCAAAUGUUUCCCAUGUAGUUGUCACAACCGAAGCUGGUACUUUCUGCUUCGCGUUUAGUACCUUCAGCACAUCCAGUUUUUCCACACACUUCUGCACUAUUUUUCCCUGCAAUAUAAUUAUUUUAUUUUAUUUUAAUUUAAUUUGCUCUUACCUUAUUUUUCAUAUAAAUCUGCAUUAGAGGUUUUUACAAUAAGAUAGUUAACUUUGUAAUUAAAAACCUAAAGUUUGUGCGAACUUAACUAUCAAAGUGUGACAAUCGAUAAAUAUAUAGGGGAUGGUCAAAACAUUAAUUCUUGCAUCAAAUGUCAACCGGAUAUAAUAAUAGGAAUGGUUACAGUUUAAUAGUAUUCAAACUAUGGACUAAUUGUGUAUAAUUUUAGUUAAAUAUUCCAACUAAUUGAUCUUGUAAUGAGAAUAUUCCAAACUAUACAUAAUUGUAAUUAAAUACUCGUACUAUCACAAAAUUAACAAAAAUACCCCAAAAUUCAAUCUUCAAUCACUUCACAGUUCGUUAGAUCAUGAUGUGGAUUUUAAAAAAUAAAUUAAAAAUGAGCUAGAUCAAAAGUCAAAACAACGUUACGCUGCUUUAGUGCAUAGAAGUUACAUAUAAAAGAAAUUGAACGAGCCAAGUAAUCUUUUCGCAACUGAAAAUUGAAUAUUUCUGUUAAUUUAUUUAGUGAUACUUUGGAUAUUUAAUACUGGUUAUGCUACGUUCAUAAAAAAUAUAAGAAUAAAGUGUGGUUUCGUGUCCUAAAACAAAAAACCAUAUACUCUUCCUAGAUAUCCAAUAAGGUAAUUGCGCCACACUAUUAAUGAACGAUGGAGUGAGUAAUAGUAAUUCAAGACAUUUUUGUGAAAAUAUCAAAAAAAUCGAAUACUACUUAACUACAUUAACGAGCAUGACAUUAUUGAAUACUUCAUCCAUCCCAUUUUAUUUGAUUUAGUUCUUUUGAAUACGAUUAUUUAAAAAAAUAAAAUUAUUAUAUGAAAAGUAUAUGAUUUAAUAGUAUUUAAUAUAAUAUUAAUUGAUUUUUUGAAAAAAAGAAAAAGAUAAAAUCAAACGAGACGGUUUAGAAAAAAAAAUAAGAAGUGUAAUUAAAUAGGAUGGACUAGGUAAGAAUUGAGAUGAAGAAAUGUAAAAGGAAGGGAUAAGGAUAAGCAUACUUGUGAGUCCUUGUAUGCACAUGCAUCAGCAGCCUCGGCAGCAGGAAUGUUAUCUAGUUUGACAGCUUGUUGCAUCAGCAUCUCGAUCAACGUUGUGAUCUGUAAUUCUGCUACUCUUUUCCCAUUUGCAAUUGAUUUCUCUAUUACACUUACCUAUAAUCCAAUGGAGAUAUCAAUUAUUUUAUUAAUUAAUGAUCUACAUGAUGGAUAUAUUUCUUCAAUGUACUAUAAAAGAUAAGGGGAAUAUUAUACUUUAUGACUUCAUCAUUUGGGUAAGUUUAAACAUAAUAUGACAUUUAACAUCUUUAAUAAAAUUAUACUAAUAAAGUCCUCAAUAAAACAUCAAGCGAUACGAACUUUUAUGUGUGAACAAUAAAAUUUAGGGUUCAAACUCCAUCGUUUCCCCUUCUCCAAGUAUAAAUAAAAUAAAAUUAUAAUAAUUAAUAAAACUCUAGUUUAAGUGAUAAAGUUGAGGUAUCAAAAUUUUCUUUUUGUAAAAAAUUAUUGAAUCAAGUUUCAUAAAUAUUGUGUAAAUUAUAUUUAUGGAUAGUAUUUUUAAGUAUUUAUUUAUUUAUUUAUUUAUUCUAGUUUAUACUAGUUUAAUUGUUGAUUUGACUACAGUACUAGCUUAUUCAAUUCAUUGUUAUUUAUAUUCAAUUUCAUAAUAUAAUAAUAUACUAUGUCAUUUUUGAAAAAAUGCCAAACUAGGAUUCAUAUAUUUUUUUAGAGUAAUGCUAAACAGCCACAUUAUGGCCACCCACAAUUUAUAUAAAUAAAAAAUAAUUUAAUUUAUUUAAUUUAUUUUUUUAAAGAAAAAUAAGAUUUAUUUUAUUAUAUUCUCUACACUGUAGUUAUUUUUUGCAAUUUUUUGGUAACUUUUUUAUUUUUAUUAAAAAAUAAAUUAAAUAAAUUAAGAUUUUUCUUAUUAUACUAGUGUGUGAGUGGCCAGAAUGUGGCUACAUAGAUUUAUUGAUUUUUUUAAUAGAUCAUUAAUUAUUUGUUAACUAAACCACCUAAAAGAAGCAUUUUCAUGAUUGAGAUGGAUUGAUUAUACUAUCAUCUUCUCUCUUUUUCGAUAAACAAAUAAUCUUAAAGAUCGUAUGACGAUUAGGUAUCACACACAAAGCUCUAAAUUUUCCUUCUUUUAAAAUUGCCGCCCCUGAAGAUCGCCUUCUCCGUCACCGCACAGUUGCAUCUAAAGGUCGCCGCCACCUUCAUCCACGAGGAAAGAAUGAUGACCUUCUGUAGAAACGAGGCCUUAAUAUGUGUGCCAACUGGGUCAUAAACCCUAAAAUUCCCAGAUCUAGCAACAACGAGGAAAGAGAGACAAGAUGUGGCGGGUAGAGAGAGGGGAGGUGGUGCAAAAGAAUAGAGGGAAAGAGAAGAGGUUGUGAUCGACUGUCGAUGCGGUGGUGGGAGGUGAGGCAUGAGAGAAAGGGAAGUUGGAAUGAGAGAUAGGAUAGGAUUUAGGUUUAAAUAUGUAACGUAAUUAAGUUCUAAUUAUAUCAGUAAAUAGACCAUUAUAUUUAGGACAAUACAAUAAAGAAUACAUGUUAUCAAUAUUGAGAUGAAGGGAACACUAUUUUAUCGUACACUGCUCUAGUUGUCAUUACGUGUAAAUUAAUUAAUUGUACUCUUGCUAUCAAGUUAGAAGAAAAACAAGUAUUUAUUUUCUCUGCAGGCCACAAGACUUCGAAACGGAUGUUAAGAAAUAAAUAUUUAUAUUAAAAUAGGAGUUUUUUUAGGAUAUAUUUAUCAAAAAAAGUGAGAGAAUUGAAGAUAUCUUUUUAAAAUGAGAAGAGGGAUAAUUAUGUGUGAACCACAAUAUCAUAUGAUAUAAAUAAUAAAUUAUGCAAGACUAUCUGUUAUGUAUUAAUUUUUCAUUUUAUAAAAUGACUUAUUAAAAUAAGACGUUUAAAUAAUAAAAUAUAGCCUAUUGUAUUGGUUUGGUCCAAAGAAUUAUAAAACUAGAUAGUCAAAACUCAAAAGUAAUAAACUAAAUUAGCCACCAAUUUAAUUAACAGCUGUUACAGGUUGUUUAAUUUAAUUUUACCAAACCGACCCUAUAUUAAAUCACUACAGUUGACAGCUAAACGUUGCAGUACUAAUAGCUUUGUCACCUACUACAGGUCCAUCUUUUUUCUAUUAUUAAAUAAAAAAAUAGUUAUACCAAAAUUCGAAAAAUGUCAGGUAUAAUCUAUGCUUUUUUGACAAUAAAUCUACCAGGACACAUUUAUUUGACAGAAAAACAAUAUUAAAUAAAAAUGUAAUUUUAGAAAAUUAAUUUAUCAGAAGAAAUAAUAGAUUUCUUAUGCUACAUUUGCAAAUAUCAAAAAAACUAUUAUGAUUCUAAUUUUUUAUUAAUUAAUUAAAUAUAAUUUAUCAAUAUAUAUAUAUAUAUAUAAUUAAAUUGUAAUUAAUUAGCAUGCAAUAAAAAAUUAGUAAAAUUAAAUUGAGAUUUGCUUAAUAAUAAUAAUAAUAAUAAUAAUAAUAAUAAUAAUAAUAAUAAUAAUAAUAAUAAUAAAUGUAUAAGAAACAACUUAAAACAACUAAAUAGAAACUAUAGUUUGUAUUUCAAAAAAGUAAUAAAAAUAAUAUUCAAGCAUGUAAGAAGAAUGUGAAAAAACAAAAAAGAAUACCUAAACUAUGUUAGGAAUAACAUUCUUAGAAAGUUGUAGUACUAUUUUUCCUCUUAUAAUGAUUCUUAUUAUUUCCAUUGUUUGAUAGAAAUCAACCAAACACAUGAAUUUAAAAUUAUGAAAUUAGAUUAAAUGCCAGAGUACAUGUCAAACAAACGAAUUUAUAUACUCACGAAGCUUAUUAUACAAAAAAAAUAAAAACAGAUUAACGAAAUUAUAUUUAUUAUUCAUUUACUUUCGAAUUACUAUCGUAUUUAUAGAACAUACUAUCGUAUAAAACAAAUUAACGAAAUUAUAUUGAACAUACUAUCAUAGAACAUGUCAACACACAUGACACAUCUACGUAUCAUUAUCAAUAAAAUAUAAUAGUAUUAAAUUUAUUUACUUUCGAAUUCCUAUCGAAUUCAUAGAACAUAAAUAUUUGUUUGCUAGUAUAGCAUCUACGAGACUUUAUUAAUGGAUAUUGCAUUCAUGCAACAUAAUGAAGGACAAAAUUGUAAAUUUAACUAACCUGCUCCACCAGCCUAUCGAUUUCCGUGGACACGUCGUCGAUCAGCCGUUGGAUCGUCUCGAUCUUGGCCUUCCGCCUCAUCUCGACCAUCCGCCGCUCCUUGCUCUCUGGAUCGUCGAUUAAGACGACUUUCGACCGAUCUUUGACCCCGCACGUGUCUAAAUAGUCGCCAUUUUCCCUCUCUUUCCCUCUGAAGAUCAGCCGCUGCUCCGCCGGCUGCAGCCCCGUCUCCGCCGUCAGCAGCGUCUUCAGCUCGCCUUUCCAAAUAAAAUUAAAAAUUCACCACAAUCAAACCAGAAAUUCAAUCCACAUUAUUAUUUUCUAUCACAAUUGAGAUAGAAAGAGAGAAUUAACCGAAAGUGGUUUGUGCAUUGACCGAGAUCUGACACAAAAUGGCGCCGUAUACCACUCUAAUGCGCAGAUUCGGCGUUGCGAGGUUUCCAGAAGCACUCUCGCUCCUCUUCUGCACCAGCAUUCCUCCCGGCCGCAUUUCCCACUCAACCGCCUCCGCCGCCGAAGAGGAGGACGAGGACGUCGUAGUAGCUGACUCCGCCGCCUCGCUGCGGCGGAACCUGCGCUUCAUCAUCUCCGGAAUCCUCAUGCAGAUAAAAGCACAGAAACUCGAAGAAAACUGAUCUGGAUCGAGCUUGUGUUGAUAAUGUGUGGUACCUCCACUCGAUCGAGGUAGAAGAUUACGAGGCGUAUGUUGGUGGAGCAGAAAUAACGAAAAUGGAUGGGAAUUGGAGCGAAUAGGAGAGCGCCACCAUUGAUGAAGAAAAACGGUUGAGUUGCAGUGACAGCUAAAGGAGGGUUGCCGACAAUUGAAGGGAAAUAUCGUUUUUCUGAAAAAAUAAUUGAAUGUGUAAUGUUGGUUGCUUUUGAUGGAGAUGAGGAUUUUGAAUGGGCCACUUGGACUCUUAUUAUUGGGGAUUCUUUUGGUGUAGGCCCAACCCAAACAUUUGUAUGUUUUUACUUUGUCGGUUUUUUUUUUAAAUAUUCAUUGAUGAAAGAUGGGAAAUAACUAAUUAUGCCGUGAAACUGCAAAAAUUUUAUAUAUGUCUUGCCUAAUUGUAGAGUGGUUCAUAUUCAAAUUAUUGUUAUACAAUUUAUAAAAUUAUUUGUCUAUUCAUGGGAAAAAAAAUUGUACUUAGUAUUUUCAGUACAAGUAGCUGGACUUGUAAUUUAGAUAACAAUUUUCUCUCAAAUAUGUUAUGGUCUAUUAGACAAUGCAUCAACGUUUAUUAUUAUAUUUUGGAAAUAAAAUAAAAUGAUGAACCCCAUCUUUGAAGGAGAUCAGGAGACAAAUUGUCAAACAUGCAGAAAUGAUUUAGGCUCUAAAACACUAUAUUUACAUUUCCAUCGUUAAAACGUAUCUCUUUAUAGUGAAAGCUAGUUUAGUGUAUUGCGAAUUAAAGCACAAAAUAAUUACAAAAAGUAAGAAAAACAUAUGAAAAUUAGUUACGGAUUUCACACUAUAGUUUUCAGAUACAAUUAUAGGAAAUAAUUAAUAUGGGUAUUUAUAAUGAAAAACAGCCCUAAAUUCGAUCCGGCCUAAAUUGAUACUCCCUCCGUCUUUAUAAAAAAUAUAAUAGACCCAAUCAAUCCCUAAUCGCUGCUAGUGUGACAGAAUCCACAGUACUUUCAAGCUUUAUAACUCGACAUAGCAUAAAAUAAAUUUACUUAGAAAUCAAUUUAGUGGAAGACUGUUAGAAAUGGAUAUUGGGCUCAUUCCUCCCUUAAAAGGCCUUGUAAGGGAGAGGGUUGCCUCACCAUAUAAAGUGGCUCAUGCCACUAUCUCCAAUCCAAUGUGGAACACUUCAAUACACCCCCCGCACGCGCAGCGUGGACUAUCCCAAACGCCAUCUGUUGACAACGAUAUUGGGGGGGCCCAUCAUUGGAUUGGGUUGGCUCUGAUACCAUGUUAAAAAUGAAUAUUGGGCUCAUUCCUCCCUUAAAAGGCCUUGUAAGGGAGAGGGUUGCCUCACCAUAUAAAGUGGCUCAUGCCACUAUCUCCAAUCCAAUGUGGAACACUUCAAUAAAGAUGAUCAUAUAAAUGUGUAAGUAUUAAUUGAUUGUUGAGAUCAAGCUGAUGCGCAUGCGACUAUAUAUGCUACUUUCUACUACCAGAUAAUAUAUAGCUUAAUUACUUGUUAUUUGCAUUCGAAGAUGAUUAUUUUGUUUUUCUUUACCUAUAUCUCGUAAUAUUAUAGUUAAUGAACUGAAAUUACAUGAACUGGAAUUUCUUUUUAUUUAUUUGAGUACCUACCUCAUAAAUAGUAGGUAUAACCGUAGAAGCAGCUAUAAUAAGAAACUUAUUGUCGAUAAGUACAUGAGCUGGCUCUUUAUGCGGUCAUUAGAUAUUUAGAUUGAAUUUUCAAUGCAACGUACAUUUUGAUUGAUAAAUUUAUAAAGAGAAAAUAAGCGAUUAUUAAAAAAAUCCUUUUUUUCCUCUCAUUUUUUACAAAAGAGAAUUUCACCUUUGAUUUCAUUUUCUUUUCACCAAAGAGCGAUAAUAUUAUCACACCAAAAAUGGAGGAAUAAUAUUAUCCCUUAUUGGAUUGAAAAUAUGGAAUGAGGAUGGUGAAAUUCUCUUUUGUUGAAAAUGAGGGAAAAGAAAGAAAAAAAUUUAAAGACAAUUUUUUGUUAUUCCUCAUUUUCUGAUCAUGAUAAAUUUAUCAAUUAAAGAGAACACUUCCUUAUUUGUAAAUGACUCAAGACGACGAGUAUAUGGAAAUAUAUCAUUUUAUAUCCCAAUAUUUAAACUUUUCUAUAAUAAAAUCUAAAUGUCAUUUUGUAUCUCAAUAUUGAAGUAUUGCAUCGACCAAAAGUUGUUCAUUGAUCAGUCUCACAGUAUAUCAGUUAAAGAUAUAAAAUAAAAGUAGACUGAGGCUUUGUUCUACAUUUAUUUUAAUGAGUAUCUUCACUUAAUCUUUCCAAUCAGUCUCUUCUGGUUCCACGCAUGUAUCACAACCAUGCUUAUCUUAUUCAACAAUCCAAAAGCCUUAAUAAUUUAUCCAAGCGUCUUCUCUCUUAAGAUUGGCAUGUAUCAUCACAAAAUUAUCUUGAGGCGCGGCGAGAAAAUACUUUGCCCAACAAUUUUAUCAUUUUAAGACAAUUCUCAUAUAUAUAUAUAUAUAUAUAUAUAUAUAUAUAUAUACUACUACGUUACUUACUUACGUUANACAAGAAAUUGAUUUUAAAUUAAAAUUUAUCUUUUUAAUAUAUAUUAUAAAUUAUAUAGAUCUUAUGAAUAGUUGUAUAUUCAAUUAGAAUUAGGAAUU